rnacentral:lncRNA from 1 species
UGCGGUGUGUGUAGUUGUGUGUGUGUGUGAGCGCGUUGUGUGUGUGUGCGUAUGUGUGUGGAUGAGGCCGAUCCUAGUUAAGUAGGUUAGCUAAUUAGUAGUUAGGCUAAGUAGUGGUUAGGUAUAGGGUAAAUGACAUAUGGGACCACCCUGGUUAAUUACCAUUUUAUUAGACGAAAGACAAUGACACAUGGGACCCACUUACACUAUUCAUGUGUUGACCAGUCAACCUUUGACCAGGUCAACCCAACCCCAUUGGCCCCACUGUCAUACUCACACGCUAGGGUAGCACUAGGUGACAAAAGUAUUUUCUGCUUUUAAUUCGAAUUAAAACAAUUUAAAAAAGAUAAAACUUUGAAAAUUAAUAUAAAAUAAACCGUAGCUCGGAUAGAAAAACUUUGUACAUGAAAGUUGCUCGUAACGACGAGACGAAUCCGAAUACGCAACCCGUUUGUUCGCCACACAUCCCUAACAUAUCGAACACGCAACUUUUCCCCUCCAAUUCAUUUGUCCAAAAACGCGAAACACCUGGAAUAUUUUCCCGAAUGUUUCCCCCCUUCGUCGGUAUCACCUACUACCGCGUUAGGGCACACCUAGCAUCGCGUAUUGCCAUGUUACGCUUUGUGAUGCUUUGAUUGCUUUGUUAUUUAUUGUGUUCCCCCUCCGCUACUUCUUUCCGGUAGACCCGGAGACUGCCGGCGACCCCAGUUCGACUACACCGAAGAUGACCCCUCUUUCUCGGCUGAGCUUCCAGGCAAGCCCCCCCUUGAUCACCAGAUAUCGCCUAUUCUCCUCUAUACUGCUUGCAAUAGAGUAGUGUAGCAUGUUACUGCUUUCCGUUAAUCCUAUUCUGAUGCAUAGCCUGACAUUGUUGCUACAUCUGUUGAUACCUUACCUGCAACCUAAAUACUUAGUAUAGGAUGCUAGUUUAUCAUCUGUGGCCCUACAUUCUUGUCGGUCUGUCUUGCUAUACUAUCGGGCCGUGAUCACUUGGGAGGUGAUCACGGGUAUAUACUAUACAUAUAUACAUACUACAGAUGGUGACUAAAGUCGGGUCAGCUCGUUGAGUACCCGCAAGUGAUUCCGAUGUGGGUGCUGGAAGGACAGGUGGCUCCAUCCCGAAAGAGGUGGGCCUGGGCUCCCGACGACCCCCGACUGUUACUUUGUGACGGAGCGACAUGGCACGUUGAGACCACCUAGGCGAGAAGUGGGCCUGGCCCUGGUCGACGUCCGCGGUUACUUCAUAAUAACACGCUUAACGAGAUCUUGGUAUUUGAUCUGAGUCUGGCCACUGGCCUAUACGCACUAACCAACUACGCGGGAAAGAUAUGGGCACUCGGCGUCGUGGUAUCAGCCGAAGCCUUCGUGACGUCAGCGACUGAGCGGCGCGCGCCGGGUUGGACUGCGUUAACGCAACUUUCUUUGUAAUGGAGGUUGCUAGGUCUGCUUCCGGCCGCGCACGCAACAUGCAGGUGUGCAAUGGGCGAUGGGCCCAGACCCCUGCGCGCAUAGGAUUUAGACCGGCGUGCUGACCUCUCUGUUGUGCCUAGGUGGGGCUGCGACGUGUUGAUCUUCCGAGGCCGGGCAUGACCCAGGAAAGUGUGUCCGGCCAAAUGGGAUCGAGCGUGUUGGGUUAUGUGGUGCACCCCUGCAGGGAAGUUUAUCUAUUCAAAUAGCCGUGUCCCUCGGUAAAAGGACGACCCGGAGUUGUACCUUGACCUUGUGACAACUAGAAUCGGAUACUUAAUAAAACACACCCAGACAAGUUCCACAGACAACCCGGUGAUUGCUUUUCCACAGGGCGACGAGGGGAGGAUCGCCGGGUAGGAUUAUGCUAUGCGAUGCAACUUGGAGGACUUCAAUCUACUCUCUUCUACAUGCUGCAAGACGGAGACUGCCAGAAGCGUAGUCUUCGACAGGAUUAGCUAUCCCCCUCUUAUUCUGGCAUUCUGCAGUUCAGUCCACUGAUAUGGCCCUUUACACAUAUACCCAUGCAUAUGUAGUGUAGAUCCUUGCUUGUGAGUACUUUGGAUGAGUACUCACAGUUGCUUUGCUCCCUCCUUUUCCCCUUUAUCCUCUUCUUCUCGGAUGCUGCAACCAGACGUUAGUGCCCAGGAUCCAGACGCCACCGUCGAUGACGACUACUACACUUGAGGAGCCUACUACUAUGUGCAGGCCACUGACGACGACCAGGAGUAGUUAGGUGGAUCCCAGGCAGGAGGCCUGCGCCUCUUUCGAUCUGUAUCCCAGUUUGUGCUAGCCAUCUUAUGGCAACUUGUUAACUUAUGUCUGUACUCAGAUAUUGUUGCUUCCACUGACUCGUUUAUGUACGAGCACUUGUAUUCGAGCCCUCGAGGCCCCUGGCUUGUAAUAUGAUGCUUGUAUGACUUAUUUUACUUUUAGAGUUGUGUUGUGAUAUCUUCUCGUGAGUCCCUGAUCUUGAUCGUACACAUUUGCGUGCAUGAUUAGUGUAUGAUUGAAUCGGGGGCGUCACAAAAAUUAGCCUCAAAAAACGCAUUAGGCCCUGUAUAGUAAAUGGAAGGAGGGAGUAGUAGUGGAAGUGGAUCCUCUGACGUAGGUAUCCCUGCCUUACCCUCCCUUUCGGUCACUUACUGGCAGACCCCAUGCUUGCUAGGCCCCGCAUGUCAGUUACUCAAUGGGUUCGGCCACGUCAGGGGAUCCUCAUCCGUAGUAUACUCCCUCUGUUUUUAUUUACUCUGCAUAAAAUGGAGUGAGUGGUAGUAUAAUAAAUGAUGCGGGCGGGGGAGGGGGAGGGACGUCAGUUUGCUCUCAACUGCGGUCCCACAAGCGAGCGAAAACGCAAGACGAAGCGCGUUCCAUUCGAUGAGGGACAUGGAGGGUCUAGCGUGUCAGGCUGCAACGCGAACGCGACAAGAGCAAUGUACAGUCAAAACCGAUUGACCGAUCGUCACUUGAGCCACUAUUUACACCAGAACCUUUGCUGCUCGGCCUACGCCAGCCACUGCCCUAAAACCACAACUAAUAUCUAGCCCAUCCCCCCACCUUUCGAUCCCCUAGCCCGCAUCAAGCAUCCCCUAGUUCGCCGGAAAGCCAUGGUGCGCCGCAAGAUCACUUACUACAAGAAGCUGACGUCGGAGCGCUGCGCAGAAAUCGCGGUGGCGGUCGGUGCCACAGACCCCCGUUCCCAAGCUCGCUUUGCGGCGGGCCAAUCCCCGAGUUCUCUGGAGCCAAGCCACGAGGAGGAGGAAGCCGAUCCAAUGUUCAUGGCGUAGGUCGCGGCGCAGAAGGCCCCCGAUGGGUAUGAGACGAUGGAUGUCGACUUCGUGCCGGCGUUCGAGUCCCCCAUGGUGCAGGCGGACCAACGGUUCAACAUGGCGAUACUAAAGGAGGACCGGGAGGCAGAUGCUCAACUCGAUGCGGAGCGCGCGCAUGCCGCUGCCAUCGAGGCUCUCCUGCAGGCGAAACCAGAUGUCCUGGAUGUGAACUGGGCGGCGGAGGCUCAACUUGAGGCGGAGCACGCGGAUGCCGCUGCCAUCGAGGCCCUCCUGCAGGCGGAACCGGACGUCCUGGACUUGAACCGGGCGGCAGAGGCUCGACUCGAUGCAGAGCGUGCAGAUGCCGCUCUCAUCGACGCCCUCCUGCAGGUGGAACAGGACGUCCUGGAGUUGAACCGGGCGGUGCAGAUUCGACUCGACGCAAAGCGCGCGGAUGCCGCUGCCAUCGAGGCCCUCCUGCAGGCGGAACCAGACGUCCUCGACUUGAACCGGGUUGUGCUCUCGUCCGCGCAGAGCGCCCGCACGCUCCACGUGAACGAGUAGCUGGAGGCCGAGGACAACCACGGUGCAGAGACACACGUCGGCAGCUAUGGCUGGUUAGCGCCGGCAGCCAAAGACGACGAGGCCGUCUCUUUCCGCGAGCAGUGCUAGUUUUUAUUUAUGUUGUUGUUUUUAUGGAUCUUUUGCUGUGUAAAAACGUAUAUUUGUUAUGCAAGUCGACUGACUUGGGUCAGUCUACCAUUUCAGGCAGUUGGAUGAAUAUCCUACGUCUUCUAACCCUUCUUUUCUUCUUCCUCACCUCUUCUUCUUCCCCAACAGACCACCGCACGGGCCAUACGGAUACUCCCCAACAUGCAGUUGGAUAAACAUACUCUAUGAACGAAAAUUAUGUGUCAGCGAUAGGAUGGCUAAGAUUGGUUUGUUCACAUGCGACAGCACGUGUCAGUGAGGGUGCGUUCCCUUGGUUGGGUUUGCGGCGUGUAGGACCGACUGUGUGAGGGUGCGGUGUGACCGCGACGUGCAGGAGCGACCGUGUGAGGGUGCGGUGCGACCGCGGCAUGCAGGAGCGACCGUGUGAGGGUGUGGUGCGACCGCGACAGCUGUGCGCAAGUGUACCUCCUUAUCAUUUUGAAAACUAUAGGCAAGCUUGGCAAAAAUGUGUGGCGAAGUUUGGCAAUUCAAGGCCUAGACCCAAACAGGAUAAGUACGUACGUACUAGGAGUACUAGUGUUAAAAAAGAAAGGCGGGGUUUUCCUUCAUGGGAUUUAAUUGAUACAAAUCCUCAUUUCACGUGUCAAUUAAUGCAUAAAGUGCAUUGACGGAGAACACCAUUGAGGGAGACCACGGUAAGUCGUUCGCAAGUGCCGCCUGCAAGCCGAGUCAACUGCCUUAUUUGCAUCCAGGAAGUCCAUUGAACCAAAGGACUAGUACUACUAGGAGUACACAAUAGCGUCGUCCGUCCAGCUUAGUGCGGUGAGAUGGUUUCUUGAAGAAGAUGAUGGAUAAGCGGAGUCAGCGAAGAGUGAAAUGAUUGUUACUUUGUCCGUGCUUUUGUGAUUUGACGUCUCACUGCUUUGUGAAUUGUGAUAGAAGAGACAGGGGAGUAGACUCUGUGCUCUAUACUGUACUACAUGCGUCCAAGCAUGGGAGAAAGAGGAUAGACGUUGCAUUUUUCUAUUCCUUCAAUCAAUCAAUCAAUCAGGGAGCUUCGGUUCCAUCUUUUUGGCUUUGGCAACACCGUCCACAAUGGUUCCCAUGAUGCCAAAAGCUAUUUUCACAUUUGGCUACACAUUGUGGAUGCCCUUAACCGUACCACUUGGUUUUGCUCCUGUGUGCUAUCUAUACAAAUCUCAAUUAUAUUGAUCUAAAAAAUUAUAGAAUCAAGAUUAGUAAAAAGGAGGUGAUUUUGCCGCGCGGAUGGUGGGGGAGGUUUCUUAUUUCCAGAGGAUGUUGUCCUGGCGGUUUGCUAACAUGCGGUCCCAUGUGUUAGUGCUUUACCAAGCCGAUCCGCAUCCCACAUGAGGCAGAACAACGGCAGAAGCAACACGUGGUUAACUUGAAGAAGAUGAGGGAGAAGCGGAUUCAGCAACGAGUGAAAUGAUGGUUGCUUCGUCCCUCCAACUACUUUUUUUAGCAUUAUUACUUUGUCCCUCCAACUUAACUGGGGGAAAGGUGCAUCUUUGUGAUUUGAUGCCUCAUUGCUCAUUACUACGCCGGCGCCAUGACUGGGGUGCUUCACCCCGGCUGCUCUGCACUGUAUUCCGGUAUGGCACGUGGACCCGGUAGCUUGAUGUCCCACAUGUCGGCGAAAGGGACUAGAAGAUUAUGAAAGCGAGUGCUCCACUCUUGCGACGGAGGAGUACACGACACGACGGCCCAGUGAACUUUCACUUGUACUGUAUAGUACUAUAGUUUUGCUGUUUCGCACGAUCCAUCGAUACAAACCAGAUUAAACAGGAAAGGGCGGGAUUUUUCUCGCGCGGUAGAUGAUACUGGCCAUACAUUUCAAAGGCAAUUUUACUGUAUGCAAACUGAAUAAUUAAGGCCUUUCCCAGUGCUCCAUGGUGUACAAGUGCUAAGGAUGCCACAUAGGUAGAAAAAUGAUGUGACAAAGCAAUUAAAGAGGAGAGAGAGGAUUAUGGUGACCCCAGCAAGAACCAAUGCUAAGCACGUGAACCUAGACAAAAAGACUACCAACCAAUAUAUGUAGGAGUUCUAUUACUAAAUAAUUAAAUAGAGAAGGCUUAGCUACAAAACCUAAGCACCGAUGCAUUGGGGACAUUAGUCGCUAAGCAUUUUAAUGCACUUAGCACCCCAUGUCGGUGUAAAAACCGGCGGAUCUCGGGUAGGGGGUCCCGAACUGUGCGUCUAAGGCUAAUGGUAACAGGAGACAAGGGACACGAUGUUUACCCAGGUUCGGGCCCUCUCGAUGGAGGUAAUACCCUACUUCCUGCUUGAUUGAUCUUGAUGAUAUAAGUAUUACAAGAGUUGAUCUACCACGAGAUCGUAGAGGCUAAACCCUAGAAGCUAGCCUAUGAUUAUGAUUGUUCUUGUCCUACGGACUAAACCCUCCGGUUUAUAUAGACAAAGGAGGGGGCUAGGGUUACACAGAGUCGGUUACAGAGAAGGAUAUCUACAUAUACGAAUUGCCAAGCUUGCCUUCCACGCAAAGGAGAGUCCCAUCCGGACACGGGACGCAAUCUUCAAUCUUGUAUCUUCAUAGUCCAACAGUCCGGCCAAAGUAUAUAGUCCGGCUGUCCAAGGACCCCUUAAUCCAGGACUCCCUCAGUAGCCCCUGAACCAGGCUUCAAUGAUGAUGAGUCUAGUGCACAGAUUGUCUUUGACAUUGCAAGGCGGGUUCCUUCUCCGUAUACUUCAUAGAAGAUUGUGAACACAAGGAUCGUGUACGGUUCUGCAAAAGAAAUUCCACAUACCACCAUAGAGAGCACAGUAUUCCAUAAAUCUAAUCUGCUGACAGCUUUUAUAGCAUGACAUCACGCCAUGGUCCGGUCAUUAUUCGAACCGUUUUUCACAACCAGCUACUACACGUAAUACGAGGCGGUUUCCUUCGCACGUCUUGUCGAAGCAGAGAUCGUGUCCCCUUAUCGCGGGAUUCUCGUCAAUACGGGCAUGGGUAACCCAACCGCACCAUCAAUCGUGGCGCUUGGGGAAUAAGCGAUUUUAACGGGCGAGUGGGGAGGCGCACAGUUCUACCGCCUUUAUAAAGAGAUAGGGAUUCUCCUCUUUCACCCACGUCUUCUUCUUCCUUCGCUCAUCCAUUCUUGCACGCUCGAGCUCCAGCGCCCCAGUCCUCACCUUCUCCGCACAUCCGUUCCAAACAUGUCCGGAGCGGGAGGCAAGUGGAUGGCCUCCUCCAUCAUGGAGGACAUUACGAAGCUCCGGAGGCCGGACACUUGGCCGCAAACAUUGCACACCGGCUCCCAGACGCAAGGCAGAUUGUUCGGACUCCGCAACCCCACGAGAGGGUUGUGUUCCUCGCCCACUUCGUCCGCGGACUGGGAUUCCCCCUCCACCCAUUUGUCCAUGGGCUCAUGUUUUAUAAUGGGCUAGAUUUUCAUGAUUUGGCCCCAAAUUUCAUCCUCAACAUCUCGGUGUUUAUCGUCGUGUGCGAGGCCUUCCUCCGCAUCAGGCCGCACUUCGGCCUGUGGCUGAAGAUCUUCAACGUGAAGCCGAAGAUUGUGGUUGGCCAGCAAGCGGAGUGCAGAGGCGCUAUGGUGGGCAAGAUGCCCAACGUCACCUGGCUCGAGGGAUCCUAUGAGGAGACCAUAAAGGGGUGGCAGUCGGGGUGGUUCUACAUCACCGAGCCGCGCGACGCCAACUGGGCGGUGACCCCCGAAUUCUAAUCCGGCAUCCCCAUGCGGCUAACCUCCUGGAAGAAGUAGGGUUUAGCCUGGGGCGCACCCCCGGAGCUGACUGGACUCUAGAACUGCGUCAACAAUAUGAUAAGCAAGAAGAUCAAGCUUGUCAACGUGGUCCAGGUCAUGCUCUUUCACCGGAUCCUCCCGGGUCAAAGACGGGCGUUCAACCUGUGGGAACUCGAUGCAGCCAAACACCAGACGUUGCGAGAGCUCUUCGACACGAUGCACAAAUACAUCUGGAAGGUGUUGUUCAAGGCCGCCGAAGUACCUCCUCCCACCAUCGAGGACCGCGGACUCAGUGCAAAGCGCCAUGCCAAUUCGGUAAGCACUCUAUAUUUCACAAGAUGUGCCUUUCCUUAGUAUAUUUGUGGGAGGAAUAUAAGCCAUCGUACUGUUUUUAACAGGACUAUGUGGCGACAGCGGAGCAGAUCGACUGUCCGGCUCCGUUGCCUGAAGAUCCAACAGACGAACUCGUGAUGGAGAUGCUGUUUUCGGCGCCCUAUGAGGUGCCGAAGAAGAAGGCCACGGGGACCAGGAAAGGUCUCCGGUGCAAGGUUGUGUCGGACUCAUCGUCCGAAGACACCGAAGCGCACUCCUCCAAUGAAAACGAGGAGGAGGAAGAGGAAAACCCCCUCCCCCGAAUUGAGGGGGAGAAGAAGAGGAAGACUGCCCCAUCCGGGGAGGCCGAAGGGUCCAAGAAAGGGAGGACCCUCCCGCUGGACCACUCCACGACGGCCGCCUACAUCAACGAGGAGUGGCUACCCAGGGACAAACCCCUAGCGAAGUCGUAAGUAUCCAGAUGCCAUAAUACUUCUGGUAUGUUUAGAUUCAUGGCUUCUUAUCAUAUUAAGAUAUAUUCCUGCAGCCCGUCCAAAGCCCGCAUCGACCUAUCCUCCUCGGGUGGGUCUUUGAGCUCGUCGGUGAUGAACAGCGAUUCGCUCCCGACGGCCUCCACUCCCCGGCCCCCAGACGACACCAAAGUGUUGUCUCAGAGGAUACCAGGCCAGGGGGAGAGUUCUGGAGGCGCCUCAAGGCGAAACCUCCAAUGUCGGGCUCAUGGGGGGGAGGAAGAUCCCCAUGGAUUCUGAUGAGGGGGGCUGCAGCAAGCUUGGCCCCCAGCCGGAUACCGUGCCGGAACCUCCCGUGGUUCCGGUUUCAGGCAAGCAGCCCCCUGCUAAGGAGGGCGAGCCACCUGUGCCGAUGACCUCUGUCCAUCCAGAGGCAUCAGACAACUUGCUGGAAGUGCUUCGAGGCGCUUAUAUUGAUGAAGAACACUGUACUCUGAUGAGUACGGUGAUUGCGAAGGUUCAGUCCGCAAAAAGCGGAUUGACCGAAGCCUGCGCCAACCUCUUAACAGGCUUUGAGGUAAGUAAUUAAAUGAUGAGAAAAUAUCACAAUAUAGACAGUAGCCCCUGAUGCUCUGUUUGGUAUUCGGAAAGAAAGGCCGAAUAGAGGAUCACAUGUUACUACCAGGAGACUAAUCAAAUUAUGCCUAUGUGAAUAAGCAGGCAUCACUGCUGGCCGCCGCCGCACUCACUGCAGAGGUCUUCGGGCUGAAGCAGAACCUGGGGAGGGCCGAAGAAGAGCUCGGCCUCGUGAAGAGGCAGCUCGAGGAGAAUAAGGGUAAGUGAUACCCCGUCUGAAUGUUAUAUAAAGGAUAAAUUGUUGAUGCUAAUAGAGGCAUCAUGUGUAUAAUAAGGGCCACGACCGAAGUGGCGGCCCUUAAGAAGGCGUUGUCCGAGGCCGAAGGCCAAGCGGCGAAGGAGUGCACCGAGUGCGAAAAACAAGAGGCUCGGAUUAAUGAGGUCCAACAAGAGCUCCAAGAUUUUGUCAAGAAAUUUGAGACCUUGGAGCGUGACUCCAAGACACAAGAGUCGGAGCUUGCGAAAGCCCGUCAGAGCACGCAAGACGCCAAGGUCAAAGCCCAGAAGGCCCUCUAGGAGAUUGAGGCGGCCAAGAAGAUAGUGGAGGGUAAGGCUUUCAUUAUGCAAAGCAAGAAUGUGAAAGAGACUUUCCUUUUACUUACCCGAAUUUGGAGCUCUCCAGGAGCAUUCACAGAUUUGCCGCACAGCAUCUCUGAUGCCGCAGAGUUCUACCGAGCUUAGGAAGGGAGCUUGAUGGAUAAGCUGUUUUGGUCCCAGUAUAUUGGGGCCGAGCAUCCGAUGAACUUGAGCGACUAGCUAAGAAACUGGUCGAACUUCACAAGGCGACCAAACUGGCCAUGAAGGACUUCGUAGUCCGGCUGUGGUCUGGCGAGCCCCUGCCCGGUAGCUACUUCGGCCUUGUCAAGCGAAUGGUGAAUGCCUGUCCGCAUCUUGAAGUCAUUAAGCGGUCCGUCUGUAUUGAAGGUGCACGCAGGGCCUUGGCCCGUGCGAAAGUGCACUGGGCGAAGAUGGAUGCCGAGAAGCUGGUGACGGAGGGGCUGCCGAAGGGCAAGGAGCAUCGCCACCCCGAACAAUACUAUGAUAAUGUCAUUAAGGGUGCCCGCCUUGUGGCGGUGAAUGUACGAAGGAUGUAAUAUUUGAAUGAAUGUACUUAAGUCAUCCUGUAAUAUGAAGACAAGUUCAUGUGCGCUAUAUAGCGCUAUGUUAAUUUAAAAUAUUACCGUUUGUGCGGCUGUUUUAUAAAAUCUUGAGAGUUGGCCAGUCGUCGGCUUCUGCCCCCAUGUAGCUAGUACUGGGGUGUUCGGGAUAAAUACAAACACUCUUUAUCCAAAUUUUUGGUCCUUUUAAGGAGGUGUUUAACGCAGCGAACAAGGCAAUCGGACUAUACAACUUUAUCACUCUCACUUGGCCAUAGAAGUCUACAAUUUUAAAUUUUGGCGAAGCCCCUAGUGUUCGGAAGGCCGAACUUGGGGCGCUAUACACGCCUAAAUCGGACAAGACCGAUUCCUCACCCGAAGCAAAAAAAAUCUUUAAGGAUUUGAGACCUCUCGAACAGCGACCAGCUCUCGCCUCAUCAUGACAGUCAGUUUCGGCUUUCUCUACUAAGGUGCUCAUCCGGAAGAACCGGGACACAAUCGCAGUAGUUCUCACUGUGCUACCUUAGCCGAUAUAGUGGAACGUAAGGUACCAAAACAUAGGAGCCGGGCAAACCCAACUAUUGACCCAAGACAUGAUUCGGAGCUAAUGCAUAUAAUGCUAUAAGUUCGGGGUGCCGCACUGUCAAAAGUGUUCAGACUUUUCUUGCCGUGUUAUGGGGUAUACUGAAGCCCCUGGUGAGCCGGUCAUACCAAAGUGUACGGGUGCAGUAAAUAAUCAAAAAGGAGUAAAUGUAAUAGUAAGCUGACGCUGUACAUUAUUUUUCCUUGUUAUUCAAAUAGUACGUUAAAGUGUAUGUAUACAGUUAAUGCAAUAAGCAAAAAUAGGACUGUUUGACACAUCCUGACUUGGAGCGAGCUGUGUGCGGGUAUGUAAAACUGGUAUAGCGAUCAUUAUUAAAGACCACUUGAGUUUUCCCUUGUACGCCAAAGCUUCUUGUCUUCUUGGUGUGUCCGUCCUGCUAUGUGUCCGAUAAUUGAUCUAUCGAAGAGCCUCCCGAAGAUAGGGACCUGAAAGAAAAGAGGUGCAAAAAUGCGUGGGUCUUGGGGCGGUCGAACCGCAUUUUGGACCGUGUCAUAGUCGUGCCUCCGCCUAUACCCAUGGUAUUUAAGUGUGUAAUUGUGUAUGCACGACACAAAUUUUGCCGCUUGACUGGGAUUAGGACGGAGGCCGAAUUUCUAGUUGAGCUCUUGACGUGCCGAAUGAUCUUGUUGCGGGGUACCACGGACUCGCUUGACGAUGUCCGGGUUCUUUGUCACCGGAUUGGCUGUUUUCCUAAGAAGGUUGUUUUGUACUUCUGACGCGAGGGCUGCAGUGUGCUCCUCCAUACGGAGCGAGCGCUCAGUGUUUCCAUUAACUGUUAUAACCCCACGAGGUCCUGGCAUUUUGAGCUUGAGGUAUGCAUAAUGCGGCACCGCAUUGAAUCUGGUAAAUGCGGUUCGUCCGAGCAGUGCAUGAUAGCCGCUGCGGAAGGGGACGAUGUCGAAGAUUAACUCCUCGCUUCGGAAAUUGUCCGGAGAUCCAAAGACCACUUCCAGUGUGAUUGAGCCUAUGCGACAGGCCUCCAGACCUGGUAUGACACCUUUGAAGGUAGUUUUUAUGGGCUUGAUCCUUGAGGGGUCGAUGCCCAUUUUGCACACUAUAUCCUGAUAGAGCAGGUUCAGGCUGCUGCCACCGUCCAUGAGGACUCGUGUAAGGUGGAAUCCAUCGAUGAUGGUGUCAAGGACCAAUGCGGCCGAACCGCCAUGACGGAUACUGGUAGGAUGGUCCCUGCGAUCGAAAGUGAUUGGACAAGAGGACCAUGGGUUGAAUUUUGGGGCGACUGGCUCCAUCGCAUAGACGUCCCUCAGUGCACGCUUUUGUUCCCGCUUGGGAAUAUGGGUUGCGUAUAUCAUAUUCACAGUUUUCACCUGGGGGGGGGAUUUCUUCUGCCCUCCUGUGUUCGGUUGCCGGGGCUCCUCGUCGUCAUCGCUAUGCAGCCCCUUUUCCUUGUUUUCGGCAUUUAACUUGCCGGCUUGUUUAAACACCCAGCAUUCCCUAUUGGUGUGGUUGGCUGGUUUAUCUGGGGUGCCGUGAAUUUGACAUGAUGAUCGAGUAUGUGGUCCAGACUCGACGGGCCCGGAUUGUUUCUUUUGAAUGGCUUUUCUGCUGUCCGGAUUUAGAGCCUCUGAAUCCGGUAUUGACUGUCGUGUCUUUGGCAUUGUCGCCAUUGUUGUGACGCUUGUGUCUAUUGCGUCGUGGCUUGCCGUUGCUAUCUCUGGCAUCUGAAUCGCCUGAGUUUUUGGGUGUGAUGUUGCUAUGAGCCAGCCAGCUAUCCUCGCCCGCGUAAAAGCUGGUCAUGAGUGUCAUGAGGGAUGCCAUGGACUUUGGCUUCUCUUGGCCGAGGUGUCGGGCAAGCCAUUCGCAACGGAUGUUGUGCUUGAAGGCUGCUAAGGCUUCGACAUCCGGGCAGUCGACAAUUUGGUUCUUCUUAGUUAGGAACCGAGUCCAGAAUUUCCUGGCUGACUCUCCGGGCUGUUGGGUUAUGUGACUUAAGUCAUCAGCGUCCGGUGGUCGCACGUAAGUGCCCUGGAAGUUGUCGAGGAAUGCGUCUUCCAGGUCCUCCCAACUGCCAAUUGAACUUGCUGGCAGGCUAUUCAGCCAAUGCCGAGCUGGUCCUUUGAGCUUAAGUGGUAGGUACUUGAUGGCAUGUAGGUCAUCACCACGGGCCAUGUGAAUGUGUAGGAGAAAAUUUUCAAUCCACACGACGGGGUCUGUUGUGCCAUCAUAUGAUUCAAUGUUCACAGGUUUGAAUCCUUCUGGGAAUUCAUGACCCAUUACUUCGUUAGUGAAGCAUAGCGGGUGUGCGGAGCCUCUAUGUCGGGCUACAUUGCGACGUAGCUCAAAUGAGUCUGGUCUGUUGUAUUCGGCCCGGCCGGACUUUUGUUUAUUGUAUCCGGCGUGACGGUCAUCAUCACGCGUUGUGGCGCGCCCACGUGAUCCGUAGAUCGAUCUUGACUGUCCUGCUUUGUUUUCCAAUACGCCCCGCAGGUCCUUCGUGUAGCCUCGGGUCUUAGUAGUAUUGUUUGAUUGGCGACGGGGUGCGGUCUGGACUUCGGGCUGGUACGCCGCUUUGUCUCGGCCACGAGGUGGCCGGUCAGCUGCAUCAUGCGCUGGUAGUGGGCUUUAACGCCUCCUCCUCAAGUUGAGGUAGCAACUAGCGCUUUGGCUAACUUUUUGUCGGGCGCUCGAGUCCGUAUUCCUCGACAGCCAGGACCUCGGUCCAUCUGUCAGUAGCAGAUCUUGAUCAACUUGAAGCUGUUGCUGCUUUUUCUUCAGGCUUUUUGCAGUGGCUAUAAGCCGACACUUGAAGCGCUCCUGCUCAACGGGAUCCUCAGGUACGAUGAAUUCUUUGUCGCCGAGGCUUAAUUCGUCUUUGGAGAGAGGCAUGUAGUUAUCAUCCUCUGAUUCUCCAUCUGUUGCCUGUUCUUUAGGGCUAGCUUGCCCAUCUCCUUGCUCGGCCUGCUUGAAGCCCGACUGGGCAGGAUUGUUUUCGUCUUUGGCACCAUCCGGAUUGUUAUCAUCUCUUGUGCCGGUAUCGCUAUUUUUGCUAUGGCGGGGCUUGGAGCAGCGCCUAUGACACCGGUGUCUAGGUUGCUUAUCCAAAGGAUUAUCUUUGGUUGCCUCCUCGCUAUUGCUUUCUUUGGGGGUGUCCACCAUAUAUNNNNNNNNNNNNNNNNNNNNNNNNNNNNNNNNNNNNNNNNNNNNNNNNNNNNNNNNNNNNNNNNNNNNNNNNNNNNNNNNNNNNNNNNNNNNNNNNNNNNNNNNNNNNNNNNNNNNNNNNNNNNNNNNNNNNNNNNNNNNNNNNNNNNNNNNNNNNNNNNNNNNNNNNNNNNNNNNNNNNNNNNNNNNNNNNNNNNNNNNNNNNNNNNNNNNNNNNNNNNNNNNNNNNNNNNNNNNNNNNNNNNNNNNNNNNNNNNNNNNNNNNNNNNNUGUCUGUCCAGCGCCCUAUAGGCGGUGGUUCUUGUUCUUCUCUUGCGUCGUCGUCCAUACCGUCGAUGUCUUCGGAGUUGAAGUCAAGCACGCCGGUUAAGUCAUCGACAGUGGCUAUUAAGUGGGUGGUGGGUGGGGAACGAGUUUCUUCGUCGUCCGCUUCCCACUCGAGCCGGACAUAGUUCGGCCAAGAGUCCCCUGACAAAGAGAGAGAGACCUUAAUGAAUUUAGCACAUCACUCAAGGGCGAGUGUUGAAAAAUAUUCGCGGAGGUGAACUCCAUGACCGGUGCCCAAUCAGAUUCGAUGGGCAUGGUCGUAUGCGGUUCGGAUCCUAUAGACGGAGUCGAGUCCGAGGGUCCGAUGAUUCCGGCCUCAUAGGAGGUGAGGCCAGUGUUCGGCUUCAUGGCCGAGGAGUGUGCGGCCUCUGUGGCGGGGUCCAUCCACUCGUCCUCGGAUGGCUCGAUUUGCUCCGGAUUGAUUCCAGGUGGCGCCGCAGGCGCGAUCUGCCGAACACUGUCUGAUGGCAGAUCUAGGUCAUGCUCGUCGGGACCGUUCGGCGCACCUGACGUGGGCUCGAAUCCGUCGAAGAUCAAGUCUCCGCGGAUGCCAGCAGUAUAGUUCAAGCUUCCAAACCUGACCUGAUGGCCAGGGGCGUAGCUAUCGAUCUGCUCCAGAUGGCCAAACGAGUUGGCCCGCAGUACGAAGCCACCGAAUACGAAGAUCUAUCCGGGAAAAAAAACCUCCCCCUGGACUGCGUCGUUGAAGACGACUGAAGGAUCCAUCAAGCGUUAUCGCGACGGCACAGUGGAACUCUCAAUGAAAGCACCAAUGUCGGUGUCAAAACCGGCGAAUCUCGGGUAGGGGGUCCCGAACUGUGCGUCUAAGGCUAAUGGUAACAGGAGACAAGGGACACAAUGUUUACCCAGGUUCGGGCCCUCUCGAUGGAGGUAAUACCCUACUUCCUGCUUGAUUGAUCUUGAUGAUAUAAGUACUACUAGCAAAAAUGCCCGUGCGUUGCAACGGGAGAAAAAUGGUCACGACCCUAAACCGAUAAGUAUUCCCUCUCAUUCGACACACGAUGGUCCAUGUCCCUACUUUAACACGAUGCCCAACGCAGAUCCUCUAUUUCAAUAGGAGGCUCGACGCAUACCCGUAUCGCCGCUUAUCCUCUUGCCUCUAAUCAUGUAAAUCAUAAUUCCUUCAGACAUCUCAUGGACACCAAGCAUUUGCUAAUGUUGUUUAUUCACCUUGCAACUAUUGUUCAUAUCAACAAAUAAAGCAUAACAAAUAAUGGCAACUCUUUUGACAAUAACAUGUUCCUAGUCAUUUUUUAUUUAUCAAAACCAACACGCAGCUUUUUGCGAUCUUUGAAUAUUACCCUUCGUCGCAUGUGAGUAAUGGAGGCAUAUUACCCUUUUUGCUUUGGUUCCAUGCAUGCAUGGUCUUCGAAUAGGAAAACAGACCAUGAUUUUCUCACGUACAUCAUACAUGUUUGCUUCUUCAUUAAAAGGCAAAAAGCAGGUAGCAUCUUGCCGGAAUUUUUAAACUCUGCACACUCAUUUUAUCAUCUAACACUGACUGGUGUGUCAUGUUAAAAAUACUAAUGUUGGCACAUUAAGCACUAUAACAUAAAAUGCAGAGUAUCAUCAAUCUUGAAGUUUCAAGCUAGAUGGUAUUGUACUAUUUAUCAAAUACUCCCUCCAUAUCAAAAUAUAAGACCUUAUUUGACACUACGACGUCAAAAAACAUAUUUUACUUUGAUACAGAGCGAGCACAAUUUUGAUCAAACAGGAGAAGUAUAAAAGGCAGAGCUAGGUUGGUUUUACUUACCUUCAUGAGCUGUCAGGUUGGAUGUUACGCUGAACUGACCAUCCUCGGCAGCGACACUAAUGCAGAUGCAGUUUUAGCUUCUUCACUAAUGAAGACGCUACACUCACAAACCUCGGCAGCGACACCAACGUAGAUGCAAUUUCUGCUUCUCCACUAAUGAGGUCAUCAUCCUAAUAAUAGCCUGUUGACUUCCAGGAAGGCCUUGUUCAGAAUAUUAUUAGGUGGUCUGCUGAUUUCUUGCAUCGUAUAUUAAUUCUUUAAAGAACGAAACAAAUAUGCCCGGUGUUCUUGCCCUCCCAUGCUUGAAGUUCAACCCACAAAGAAGCCACGCGACAUACCCCUGAGGCCGCCAGCGUCUAAUCAAAUUUGGUUAUAGUGGUUUAAGACAUUGACAGUGUGGUAACAUUCACUACAUGCAUGAACAGACAAGCUGCAACUGGUUGUCAACUACGCAUCCAUCAAAGCUAAGACAUGAUCAUACCCUAUGUGAAUCUGCAUCAUGAGUCAUCAUAGUGGGCAAAACUUGUACGCUAGCAGUAGAAGAUACCAUUUAAACAACAGUGGGUAGUAGCAUGGCAAGCAUGGCUCAGUUGGUUGUAGCUUGUACAGCGGAUAUUUGUUUUCUCCAUAAUUGCAUCAAUUAUUUGAAUGCCCCCUUAUCGACAUUAAAGCAACUUGAUUGGUUCCAAUGUGAUUCCUUCUUAUGAAGACUGAAUUGCAUAUCAAAGUUCAAGAUAUAUUGUAUAGUGAUAACUGACAGAACAAGCCAGUUGCUAUUAGCAGGGAACAAUUGGAUGGAUGCGUACUGCAGAUGAGACAGUCACAGUAUCGCGGCGACUGCCAUGUCCUCCUAGCCCUCCUCUCCCCCCUGCUCUGUUAAAAAGCAGGAGUGUUUGAUUAUAUAACAGAAGCUUACUCCUAAAUAAAUUGGUAGCAAAUGAGAAGUCGAAACUGAAACUGGCAAACUACAGCGGUUGCUCUCCUUCGAUGAAACCCACAUGAUGGCUUAGUCCAGCGCCCUAGGGGCCUCCAGUUGGAAGUAGGUGUGCAUCUCCGGCACGCAAAUGACCCUCUAGAUCCCUUGAAGUACUCCGCAUCCGUCCGGAUGGGUGGCAUGGAGGGGGUUGGACGCAGGAUGCGGCCGCCUGUGGUGUCCCGAAGGAAUUUAUCGCGGAAGCUUCGGCUGCACAGGGCCUCCUGUCGCCUACCUCGUGCACUCUGCUGGCUGCGCCUCCCACCUUGUUCUUUGCCGCGCCGCCCCGUUCCACAUGCCCACCAUCCUGCCCCAUCUCCAUCAAUCCUGGCCGAGUGGUGGCCGAGCUCCACUUGCGCGCCUCCACCAGCCCCAAUGGUUCCCCUUCCUCUCGAUCUGAACCAUGUGCUGCGGGAUACAAACUCUGGGAGGCUAUGGUGGGGCGGAGAAUGGCCGGAGGCAACGAGCCGGAUGGGGGCAAGAGGCGGAGAAGGGGGCAUUCGUGUGGGGAGGGGAGAGGAACGGGAGAUGGGCGCUGUAGAGAAAAAACGCUUCAGAUUGGCCUCUUAAAUAAAGGAUUGCGGGUUAAUUGGUAAAAAGCAUAGGGACCUUUAUGUAAAAACGCCGCGACGGUGAACCCGGAGACUCAAUCCGUGCUUUAUUAGGGAAAAAUAAUACAUAUGCCCAUGCGUUGCUAUGGAGAAAAAAUGAUGUGUCCACUAAAACGCCCACGAACGCGGCAUGACAAUAUCCCUGGAAGCUGGGAGGCGCAUGCCGAUAUGUAGAAGAAAUGCAUAUCAUGCUUUAAUCUCCAUUAACUAUGGUGGAUGCAUGUCGUGACACUGAAUGAGUAUAAAUGUUACAUGGUGAGUUCUAUUUAAUCACUGCAUGCAAGAAUUGAAUGUUUCACAUAAUGUAAACAUAUGAGGGAAAGAAAUAAAAAGUAGGACUUACAAACAAAAAACAUAAUGAGAUAGGCUCAACAAACUGAAACAGGGGAGAGUAGUCCCUGGGAGUGCAUUAUAUCUGAAUCGUCGGUGGUAAGAAGCACUUACGUUAUUUCACCCUCGUUGUACAUAUUUAGAAAAUUGAUGAAGUGCAUAUACCAUGAAUUUUGGAUUAAAUACUUUAACAUGCUGUCACCCAGUUCACACUCACAUUUAAUUAAAUGAUAUUUCAAAAAAUGAAAUUGCCUAGAUAUUUGAUCUAUUUAAAAUGAGGGAAUUCACAUGGUGGUUCUCUUUAUAACCCAUACAACAUAUCCUCCCAAUAUUAUUAGAGAGCUCAAAUAAAUUAUUCCAUUAUUUUGAAAUUACCCUUUGCAAUUUAAAUCCAUUUAUUUCUAAAUAUUUUAAGCCAAAUUCAGGGAAACUCAAUUCUUAUUUGGCCUCCAAAUAAAUAUGUUUUUCCAUAAAUAGAAGAAAACCCUCUUCUAUUCUUUACAUCAAAGGCUAGCCCACCUUUCUUUUCCUCCUCCCAGCCCAGUCGGCCUUUUCGCCCAAGGCCCAGCCAACCUCCUUAACCCUAGUCGCCCCCGAGCUCGAUCCCGAUUUGUCUCUGCCUCCUCCUGACCCCCUCCCCCUUGCGCCGCCCCCUUGCGCCGUCACCCACGCAGGAGGGGCAGCCGAGCAGUGCAUCCACGGCCUCCCCCACCGGCGGCGGCAAGGAUCUCACACCCACCCCAGCUCCACCCGCGACCAUCCUCUAUCUUCCAUGCCUUUGUCGCCGCCUCUAGUCCCACUGGUCUUCCCUGCUAUUGUGCUAGCUGCGCCUCCUUGCCCUGCCCGCCGGUGAGUCCCUCCGUUGUGUCAUCCGCGCUUCGUUCCCUCGCAAAUCCAUUUAUUUGCACCCCAAUCAUCAUGGGCGUAUGUAACCUGAUUUUCCUCUUUGUUUCUUCAUGAGGAAGCUUGCUGAUAUCUUAGGCAACUUGCAAACAUAUUUAAGUUGAUACAAUUUAGUGUAAAAAUUUGAGGUGGUACUAUUUAAUUUCCCGCCGAACAAUCCUUGUGACUUGUGAUGUGAUUGUUUGCUAGUUCAGUUGGCUGGACUCUUCGGUUUAGUGGCCCAUAAAAUAAAUUCUGAUGCACACUUAUUUUAGCGAUCCAUAACAUGAACAUACCACUGGCUGGAGGGCUGGAGGCCGACGUACGAAACGGAAACUGCUCGAUCCUGUGUCUCCAUGAAGUGCGGGUUCAUUAAUAAAAACUGCAGGGACCUUUGUGUAAAAAUGCCACGACGGUGAACCCGGAGACUCAAUUUGUGCUUUAUUAUUAGGGAGAGAUAAGAGUUGAUCUACCAAGAGAUCAUAGAGGCUAAACCCUAGAAGCUAGCCUAUGAUUAUGAUUGUUCUUGUCCUACGGACUAAACCCUCUGGUUUAUAUAGACACCGGAGGGGGCUAGGGCUACACAGAGUCGGUUACAGAGAAGGAGAUCUACAUACCCGAAUUGCCAAGCUUGCCUUCGACGCAAAGGAGAGUCCCAUCCAGACACGGGAAGAAGUCUUCAACCUUGUAUCUUCAUAGUCCAACAGUCCGGCCAAAGUAUAUAGUCCGGCUGUCCGAGGACCCCUUAAUCCAGGACUCCCUCACCCCACUUUAGCACCAAUGCAUUGGGAGAGGUCUAAGUAACAAUAUGAUAUCUAGUAAAACUAAAAACACAUAUGAUUUAUUGUGUUAGAGUGUAGUAGUAGUGCUGUAUUGCAUAGUUGUUAGAUGUAACAUGCGAGAAUGUGUAGAGAUGUAGUUUUGGAGGGCCUACAGAGAGAAAAGCGUAAUACGGUCACCGAACUUCAGAAUAAGCUGAUUACGGUCACUAUAUACGUUUUGCGGUGAUUAUACGGUCACUUGCUCAUGGUUCAGCAUCGGAUUGCACUCUGUUGACGUUGACUAGUUAAAUUGACCAUGUUCCUUGUGGGUCCCACCUGUCAGUUCGCAUAGGGAAAAGGUCAGAUAAUCACAAAUUUACGCAGGCGCGUCAAGACUCCAACCCGUGCUUGGGAAUCACCUGGUUGUGUAUGUGUCUGUUAGGGCCUAAUGUGUGCGCAUGCACGUGUAGGUUGAGCACUUGAGCGUGAGAGUGUGUGCUGGUCGUGUGGUGUACUGGUGUGUGCAUGCAUGCAUGCGUGUGUGUGUGUGAGUAUUGCGUGCACACGUGGCCGUGUGUGUACGUGUGAGUGUUGCGUUCGUGCGUGGGUGCAUGUGUUUGUGCGAGUGUUGCAUGCAUGUAGUUCGUGUGCAUGCGUGCAUGUGUGUAUAAUCACCAGACCAGCUCAUGUGUGUUAAAAUAGAUGGCUCAGCAUACCAAUACAAGGCCACCUUGUCCGCUGUGCCCGCGGUCAUGACUUCGAACCACCGUCCAAAUAUUUUGUUGUUGUUUGUUUUCAUUCUUACUAGCAAGAUGCCCGUGCGUUGCACGUAACAUCAAGAUGCAUUUGUAUGACUAGUUUAUCUUGUGAGAGAAAAGGAUGAACGAGAGAAUGCCUUAUUUGCAAAUGUGGAGAGGUGUGUGGGUACCAUUUUGCAAAAUUGCCAUAGUUUCUUUCCUAGCCGUCAGAUAUAAAUCGGACGGUCUAUAUUGCAGGAUGGCAGGCACACCAUCAUCACCAACUCUGUUUUUAUAAGAGUGUAUUUUAUGUAUUUUAUAAGAGUGUAGAUGUAGAGUAGAUACAAGCCGACAGGUGGGCACGAUGGUAGUGAGAUAAUGUGAUGCAACACUAGAGGUGCCAUGUGGAGCGUUUAACUGGUCAACUAGUCAUGUCAUGAGCAAAUACAGAGUUGUACGGUGAGCCCGUGAUUGUAUAAUAACCACUAAACGUAAAUGGUGACCGUAGUGAGUGGAUUCUGAAGUCCAAUGUAUGUAUCGUGCUUUCGCUUCAAAUACAAAGAUCGUCAUUGCAUAUAUUGCGAGAGAAAGAUGAAACAUGUGUGAAUUUUCUGGGGGCUUACUUUUAGAGGACCCGGAGAUAGUUUUGUGUGAUAUGUGAAAGGGGCGUACAGGGGGGUAUGCGAUGGAGAGAAAGAUGCUCUUCGUUUCUCUUUAUUAUGACUAACUUUGUAUAUAGUAUAAAAAUAUACAAAUUCACAGUGCGGAAUAAAUAUCAUUGUGGGCACCAUGUAGUGCAAAUUAGUGUUCGUACUCCUCCAUAUAACUUUGUAAUGUUGUAUAUAUGUAGAAACUCUAAAGUAAUUUUUUGGCCACACUUUAUUCAAAAGGAAUGUUGUAUGCGAAAUAAACGUGAAGAGAGGGCUUUUUAGAACAAUGGGGUACGUGAUGUAACAUGUGUGAAUGUGUAGUUGAUGCAUUUGGCGGGGCCUAGAGAGGUAUGUGUGUGUAUUACGUAAUCGAGAGAGGCAUGGNNNNNNNNNNNNNNNNNNNNNNNNNNNNNNNNNNNNNNNNNNNNNNNNNNNNNNNNNNNNNNNNNNNNNNNNNNNNNNNNNNNNNNNNNNNNNNNNNNNNNNNNNNNNNNNNNNNNNNNNNNNNNNNNNNNNNNNNNNNNNNNNNNNNNNNNNNNNNNNNNNNNNNNNNNNNNNNNNNNNNNNNNNNNNNNNNNNNNNNNNNNNNNNNNNNNNNNNNNNNNNNNNNNNNNNNNNNNNNNNNNNNNNNNNNNNNNNNNNUGAGAGUGGUCUAGAGAGAGAGACGAAUAUGACGUCACGAUGAGAGAUUCCAUUCCCUUGAGUGUGUAUAUGCAAGGGGGGAGGGAAUAGAGGCACCAAGAGAUUUUUUUUGUGUGUGUGUGGUGUUUGUGUUGGUAUGUGUGGGUGUGAGAAGAUAAUGAGACGUGGGGGCAGAGUGUGUGUCACCGCGUGAGGUCCGGUGGGUCGAGGUGAGGCCCUUCGUUCGGUUCCGACCUGCGCCACAUUGGUCGGCCCGUGAUGCAUUUAGGAAGACCCAUGGAUGACUAGUCGUACAAGACAAAGGUAGCAGAAUUGUGAAGGACUCUGUGUCCACUGACAAAGCCGGCUAGGAUUUGUAACCCUAGGUUCUCGGACUAAGGCAACCCCUUUAUCUCUGAUAUUACUAUUCAUCAAACCUAACUUUAAGGGGCAUCCUAUAGAAUGCUCUGCUAGAAUCAUACUCGUCGAUUAGGAAGAGAGGUGUGAGACAAUGGGUGAGAGACAGGCCUAAAGAUAAUGUGCGUACAUGAGACACGUAGGCAGGUCCAUGUAUAUAGAAAGGGUCGAUGGGGAUUGUGCGUGUGUAUGCUUGCGAGAGGAAGAGUGCUUGUGAUAAAGGUUAGUGAAAACAGUUCUAAAUGGUUAUGAGAGGGAGGGAGGGUUAUAUCUAGAGCAUGUGUGCGAGAAAGACACCUCGGGAGAGAGUGUGUGAGCAUGUGUGAGAGACCACCGAUGGAGAGUGAAACUACACGUAAAAGACUGCUGUACACAUUAAUUAAAGAUAUAAAUUGUAUCCAAAUAUUAGGAUGGGAUCAUGAUAUUUGCAAUGCACGUAAGGAGCGGUCAUUGAUCCAUCAGACAUCUAGAUUCUAUCGAAUUUGAACAUGUCUAUGUUAUUAUUCGACACAAUUGAUCCACAUAAUUAGUAUUUUGAACUCCAUACAAUGCAUUGCUUUAGCAAUUAAAUAUAAACGUGAGUAUAGUUCAUGUUGUGUGUGUAAAGCACAUUAUACAUACGAAAGUUACACAAUGAACAUUAUAAAUAGCUACCUAUGAACUAGCAUACAUUUGAAUUCAACUUAAGGUGGUUUAAAAAAAAUCCAAUUCAACAUGAAGUCCAUUCAAUUAUUUGAAUUUGAUAUCAUGGCAUUUGUAAAUCAUACCUAAAUUAUGGGGGCACCAAUCUUUGCUCUGUUUUUAUACAUAAUAGCAUACGUAAUCGUGUACAAAAUAGAUUCAAAUUUAGCUCCUCCAUUCCAAAAUAAUCAUAGUUAUAGGAUUUUCAAGUGUCAAAAUUUCAAAAAGAAGCGGAUAAUUUAAUGAGGUUUUCAAACAUACAAGGUCAAAUAUAACGUUGUCUAUUUAGGUCAAUCCUCAUAGUUCAAGAGUACGCUAAACCGGAAUGCCUGUGUUUCAAAAUUUUGAACGAAGCGCCAAAAGAGCCUCUACUCGUCCGAAACCGCGUGAGACCAAUGUUUGGUAGUACAAGGAAAUUACUUUUCUAAUAACUCCGACCCGUGAAACCUACCGGCCCGACUUGCAAAGGUCUAAACCGGGGUAGGUUUGUAGCUUCAUCUAGACGCCACGCAACCGCGUCCAAAAAACAUUCAUACACAAUGGCCGCCUAAGCACACAUGCGCGCGGCCGAAAUCGCUCCCGCCCACUAUUUGGGACACCUGGGAUUACCACCCUACCCCCGACCCACAGUUGGUCCGAAAUUUAAGAGAGGGGCAAAGUUUGUACUUUCUCCAAAUUUCAAACAAGCGCGUCCCAUCUUCUGUUCAGAAAAGCCAAAAACAAGUGCGUCCCAGGCCGAAACAUGGUUCCCCCUCCCCACCCGUCUGAUUCCCCAUUCGUACUCCGUGGGUGCCAAAACUACCUCUCCACCAGUCGUGAAACCCCGGCGUCCUCUGUCCGCCACCCCAUCCCACCCAUCAACCGCCGCCCUCCUCCAUCACGCUGGAGCCGAUACCCCGACGUCAUCGUCCACCGCAACCUCAACCGCAGCGCCCUCCACGGCUAGUAGUUGAAGCCGAGGCUGAGCCGUCCGUACCCGAGCCAGUUCAACCACGCCGUCUUGCGCCUCACCGCUGCCGCUCCAACUUCGCCACCAUCCACCGCACCGGAGUUGUUCCUGCUAUGCCGUCCUUCGCCGCCUCGGUCUGCUUCCCCUCCGCUGAUAUACGGCCACGGCAACACAGUAAACAAUUUGGCCAUGGGUUUGUCCAAGGAUCCACAGCUCUCCAAAACAUCGAUUCCCCCGGGAAAAACAAGAAGAUCGCCGCGACAUAUUGACACCACACUGGCAACCGAUAACAGUACUCCUCUUCCCUUAUUCGUGAAAAUCUUACGUGUCUGCUUGCACGGUAUUCAUCCCACAGAAGACACUAGUUGACUGCUUCUUCUUCAUACUAGAUGUUCUUAAUAACUCACGAUGCACAUGGUUUCUCCUCAUAUACUAUUUCACCUUAGCUAGUGGUCCGUCGCCCCCCUGAAUUUCAAUUUCUGGCCAGUUGAUUCCCAAUUAACGGAAGCAUUCCCCGAUGUAACAUGCGCUAGUACGCCUAUUACACCGGGGAAGCAGUGCCUUGGUGUUUAUCUUAGGGGCGUGUGCGGCCUAGAGCUACUGGCGCCCGAUCUGGAGGUCGGCCGGGAUUAAAGGGAUGGCCUGGGGGCGCUGCCAAGAACGGCGGUGGUGUGAGGUCGAUGGGAGGGCGGGGCGGCGGAAGCAGGGGUCUGGGACGGUGGUCGCUGGCGGUUCAAGAAAGAUCGUCAAUAGUGACUGGUGGGAGGUAUACGAAGGCCAUCUACCCGUUCCUUAUAGAUCGGACAGUUCAUUAAAAAAAUUGUCUGACCUAUUUAUUUUCAGUUGACUGUUAUCUUAGAUAUGACCACAUGUGGUGGUGUGCUGGAGGAGUACCUGCAUUUCCUGUGCUCAUAUAUUACAAAAUCAUAUGGAGUAGAAUCUAAUUUUGUUUGCCAUGCAAUGUUGUAGAGCUAUCAUAUGUCUCCUGUCAUUUAUUUUUUAGCCACCUGCUAUCUGCUACUUUUACAGUGCACUAGUUCUGCACACACUUCACCCAUACUCUCACUAUUAUGUUUUUAUGCAAGGGUAUUUCAGAGUCUGCCUCGAGAGAAGCAAAAAAGAUAAGAGAGAAGUUGACCCAGCUUUCUUCGCGGUUAGGCAUGACACGUUACAUCGCUAUAAAGGGUGCAGUGUUAGCAGAUGGAGACGGUGAACGUAGCUCUAGAGUUGAUGACCUCGCUCGCAAUGAACCACCAUCCCAGGUGCUUGCUUUAACUUCGCGGUGUCAUAUGUGGUUGCAUGUUCCAUAUGGUGUCUAGCUUGUAUUCGAAAGGCCGAAGUCGGUCUUUAUUAAGAUAAGGAAAGAUAUUAUUUUACAUGUACAACCAUCCCGUGAGCACCAGAAGUCAAAUAGCUAGUCAGGGCACUGGUUGAGCCAAUGACAAGCCCAGCAAAGAUAGGCAUCUCCUGGAAGCCAAAUAAAAAGCUGCGAUGGUGGCAAAGCAGCCCGCCUCCCACCAGGCUCUCAGGUCCUAGAUGAUAAUGCUCACCACUCCAGCCGGAUGUCUAGCUUGUAUUGCUUCCAAUUUGAUUAAAUUGCAUCUGCUUAGCUUACACAUUAUACCUUUGAAUAUGACAUGCCUUUCUAUUUUUGGUACAUACUAGUACACCUAUGUAUUAACCAUGUUCUUACAUCAAACUAAUGUUUUUGUGUAUCCCUCAACAAUCACUUAUGAUGAGGCAGGUGGGCAAGGGGACUACUCCUCAUUUAAAGAAUGCAGCGUCAGCCUCCCGACAUGAUUCUCAAGAAACAGAAAUGCUAGAUGAAGAUAGUGAACGUAGCUCUAUAGUUGAUUACAAUAUUUCCCCUACACUAGCAUCGCAGGUGCUUGCUCUAACUUGGCAGCGUGAUAUGUGGUUGCAUGUUGCAUAUGGUGUCUAGAUUGUAAUUCUUCCAAUCUGGUUAAACUGCAUGUGCUAGUCUGCUUAGCUUAUACAUUAUACCUGUUAAUGUGACAUGCCUUCCUGUAUUUAGUACAUAGUACAUCUGUCUAUUAAGCAUGUCCUUACAUAAAACUAUUGUUUUUUUGUAUCCCACAUCAAUCAAUAUGACGAGACACCUUUAGUAUAUGCAGUGCGAUAUUAGUUGCAUCUUCCAUAUGAUUUAUAGCAUGCGCCGCUUCUAAUUUGUUGAAAUUCCAUUUAUGAUGGGACGCUUUUAACUUGGCAGAGUCAUAUUGGUUGCAUCUUUCAUGUGGUGUCUAGCUUGCAUUGCUUAUUAUUUGUUGGAAUGGUUUCUGCUUAGUUUACAACAGUUGUGAACAAGCCAUGUCGUCCUGUCUUUCGUACAUAUUCCAUCCUGGUAUCAUGUGUUUGCCUUAUAUCAAAGUAGUGGUUGUCAGUAUCAUGCAUGAAUGAGUUCUCAAGAGAGAAUUUUAUUGCUUUUUCUUGUUGGUUUUACUUGACAAUUCAAAAUCAAUAAAGCGGAAGGAAGUUAACAAGGCAACGGAUAAAGGUGCUCCUUCCGAACGGAGGGCCUCUACAGUUUCUACUCCUCCACACCCCCAAGAUGAUUUCCAAGACAACACAUGCAUAGACACUCAACAAAGUUGUGUUUAUGAUGAGCACGUCUCCCCUAGUGCACCAUCACCGGUGUUCCCUCUAACUUGGCACUGUUAUAUGUGGUUGCAUGUUAUGUGUGAUGUCUAGCUUGUAUUGCUUCUAAUUUUGUCGAAUUCCAUUUGCUUACUUUACACACUAUACUUGAAUAAGACACGUGUUCCUAUUUCUAGAACAUACAACAUCUGUCUAUCACACCAUGUUCUUACAUAAAAUUACUACUGUUGUGUGACCUGCAACAAUCACUUAUCAUAAGACACUUUUGACUUCGGAGUGUGAUAUAGGUUACAUCUUGCAUUCUUUUCUAGCUUGUACUACUAAUUUGUUGAAAUGGCACUUAUGACGAGACAGUUUUAACUUGGUAGAGUGAUAUUCGUUGCAUCUUUCAUAUAGUGUCUAGCUUUCAUUGCUUCUAAUUUGUUGAAAUGCCUUCUCCUUAGUUUACACAUCAUAAGCUGUGAAUAUGCAAUGCUGUGAAUAUGCAAUGGCACUAAUGACGAGAGACCUCUAACAUGGUAGUGUGAUGUUGUUUGCAUCUUGCAUAUGAUUUAUUUCUUGUACUGCUUCACAAUUGUUUAAACGCCAUUUAUGAUGAGACACUAUUAACUUGGCAAGCGAUAUUUUUAGCAUCUUUCAUAUGGUGUCUACCUUCCAUUACAUUGCUUCUAAUUUGGUGAAAUGUCUUCUUCUUAGUUUACACGUCAUAGUUCUGGUUAUCUCUUUCAUCCUAUUUUUCAUACAUAUUACAUCCUCCUAUCAUGUGGUUGUCUAACAUCAAAGUUCAGUUCAUCCGCAUCAUGCAUCAAUUUGUUCUAAAGAACUAAAUUUUUAUUUGUUUUUCUUGUCGGCUUGACUUAACAUGGCAUAGAGAAAGAGGAAUAAACACAGAAUGGCAGGGAAUGAGAAGCGGAUGAAUCCUGCAGAUUCUGCUGGUACUGAUGGUGCAAUAGAAGGUCAAAGUCCAGCAGAAAAUUCUACAAACACGACAUCCCAUGCUACACGAGCUGCAAAAAAGCCAAACAGAAACAAAUAGCUGCCACCAAACUAGCAGAGACAUCCCUAGUUCUUGCAACACCUACCACAGUACUACCAGCUGCACGAGUUACUCGUGUGUCAACUGAGCUAGCAGCAUGUUCCCAAGCUCCCUUGCCACCUGACACUACUUCCCAAGCACUCUUGACACAAGACGAGUUGGCAAUAUCAGAUGAACCUUGUGAGCUUCAACAGCAAGAAUGUAGUUGCUGGAGUCAAGUUACAGUUGCAUGCUUCUUUAUAUGUAGUCUCACAGUUUGAUGUACACUAACACUUCCUAUGUUCGUUGUUGGACUAGCACCUAGGCGCAAGAGGAAACAAACAUCAGGGAUAAUGCUCGAUAGGUUAACUAAAUCUAGAGGUGGAAGAAUGGAGAUCCUUUUUGAGGCAGGUUUAAAAAGGCCACGUGAUGCUACAUAGUCAGCCAAGUUAGUAUCAUAGGCAGCGGUUGCCGUUAGGUGUCAUGUACGUAUCCUCCCAACAUGGAUUCAAUACAGGAAUGACAAAGACAAACCCAGUUCAACACCUUCAUCGACCAUUUAUCUAUAUGUAUGGUUAUGUAUGGAAACUAGUAAUAUCGUCUUGCUCUGUCCCAUACUUUCUAGGUUGCUGAUAAUGAGACUCCCAUAAUUUUCAACAGAUGAGGUUCAAGUUGGAUAGCCAAGAUGAUGCAACCAGACAAGCUUGCACCCAUGUUUUCAAGUCCGCUCUGCGACAGUAUCGGUAUAACUUGAGGAAAACUCACUUUGAAGGCAAGGCUAACAGUGAACUUUCCCAAACAUCUCCAGUGGAAAAUAUAUCGGAUGAAGACUGGAGGGGCCUUGUUAAACACUGGUCUGAUCCGAAGUAUCAGGUACAUUAUAUAUAUGUGAUCAGAUCACAUGUUGAAGUCCUAUUUACGCAUGUGCCACACAAAUCUAUCUUCUUGUAGGUGAACUAUUCAAAGAACAAGGCCAACCGUACGAAAGUGAAAUUCCAAUAGACGACAGGAUCUCGUAGCUAUAUUGCACACUGCGAGGCUCUUGUAAUUAGCUACUGUUUCACUCUUUUCAUUGUACCAUAUUAUCAGAUCUAUAUUGACUUGUCCGAAAUGCAGAGGGAAGCCCGCAAGGACCAAAAAGUACCUGAACCAAAUGUUAUGGAAAUCUUCAAGGACUGUCACACCAGCAAGAAGAAGGGCAUGACUACACCAGUCAAAGCCGCUGUUGUAAGUCCGUAAUACUCAUGCCUUUUAACUACUACUUACUCUGACUUGUGCCUUGAACUGCAUGGUUUGCAGCCAAUGUCUAUUACUCUUUUGAAUUUUAUACAGAAUUGUCUUAGCGUAUCAUUGCACCUUACAAGGUUUAAAAGAGAGGAGUGAUGUUCCUUUGAUCUUGACCCGUAAUCUAGUUCCGUGAUGGACUUGCCCACACAAUGUUACAAUUGCCUGUUUUUCUGUUCUCAGUUGUUUUGUGAUAUGAAUGAUGUCAUACUAUGCUUACCGUAUUAGAAACUUCAUCUCUUUAUCCUUAGCCCUCAAUACAAUGUGGAGAAAUAGACAAUACAUUAGAGAUGGUACAUGGUCAUAUGUUUGGAACCUGGUUUUAUUAUAUACUUUGUAAUAAAAUACAACUAAUAUUUUACAUGGGUUCACCAGAAUAAGUUCUGUAUAUAGACCAAAGCUAUUUUGUUUGGUUUUGCUACCUCCUUAAUAUUUUCUAUUCUGGUACUACUAAUGUAAAACCUCAACUUUUCAGCGAGCUAUGGAAAAAAUUGUGGAACCGCCACCUUCUGAAGGUGGCGAGGCAACUAUAACCGCAAUGUCAGCUCUUGCUGCAGUGGGUCAAUACCUGUCCACUAACAGUGCCAAAAGCACGUUCCUGCGUAAUACUGGGUUGGUUGUUAAGGCAAUAUCGUCCAAACUACCUCAUGAUCAAGAUAUGCAAGCUCAAAGCAAUGUUGUAUCUGCGCUCCAGACACAAGUCCAUUCCCUAACAGAGACCCUUUUGUGAAACAAGGAGAGACAUUGUUCGAUGUCGUCAAGAUAUGCAUGGUUUUCAAACCAGACUAUCAGACAUUUGCUAUGUUGUUUAGGAGCCUAGGGGAAAUGAAGGCGAGGGUUAUGGUGCUCCAUCGGACAAUACACCAUGAAAACGUAACGGUCAGGUCAAAUGAACUGAGCUUCUGAACUUCUGGUGGUGCAUUUAUAUGCUAGACUGUUAAGUUUUAUGCCAACCUUCCUUUUGUUAUAUAGUUGUAAUUUGUUUUGGUGCGAUACAAAAUUUCUUCUUAACAUGUAGCCACCGGCUGAAGAAAAUAGCAAGCCAUUUUUGUAUAGUGUAGGUUGUUCCCUAUAUUUGCACUGGUGGCGAUCUUUGAUGCCGAGUGGAUGUAAUCUAUGCAAUCGCCUUAAUAGCCUAGCGUUAGUUUCAGCCUUAUUUUUUUCCUAGUCUUCUUUUCCCUGGUUUGCUAGUGGCCACAACAACCAUGGGCCAUAUACGGGCCGUAGGAUCCAUGGGCCAUAUAUGGGCCGUAGGAUCAAUGGGUCUCCUACGGGUCGUAGGAUCCAUGGGUCUCCUACAGGCCGUCGAUAAAUGGGCCUCCAAUAGGGCCGUAGAAUCGGUGGGCCUCAGGCCGUCGGAUAAAUGGGUCUACAUGGGCCGUAAAUGGGCGUAAUUGGUAUUGGCCCAGCACGAUAACGGGUCGUUAACAGCUAUAAGAUAGCAAAGGCUUAAUUCUGUCACAGGCAUAACGGGUCGUUAAUGGGCCAGAAUAUAGGAUAGUCCGGAAACAACGCAAUGGGUUAACAGGCCAGAAGCGGGCUGACUCUUGCCAUGGGCCGAAUUUGGCCCAUUAGGGGAACAGGACAGUAAUGGGCCGACUCUUGCCAUGGGUCGAAUUUGGCCCAUUAGGGGAACAUGCUAGUAAUGAGCCAGAAGUAAUCGAGGGCCAAAAAGGAGCCCAAGAACGUAUGGGCCGUCAAUAAGCCGAAAGCUAACACGGGCUGGAAACGGCCCAUGUAAAUCACGGGCCGUUAAUGGGUACAAAGAAAAUUACUGUUCAUUGUAGGCUAGAGUUACCGUGGGCCUGUAAAGGGCCGAAAGAUACGAAGGCCUCAUAUGGGCCGAAAGACGUCGUGGGCCAUACAUGGGCCGAAAGUGAAAUGGGUUGGUGUUAUAUUCGACAGCCCACAUGACGUUGUUGGGCCGAUUUCCUUUAGGGCCUAACGGGCCGUGAGUUACCGGGCCGUAAAAUGGGCUAUUUGCAAAGAGACCGUUAACACGCUUUUCAUGGGCCAGCCCGUUAACUUUUGACCAAGUCAAACAGGCCGGCUUUGUAAGCUAAAUGGGCCAGUGGUGGGCCGUGGCAUGUGUCGACAUAUCAUAGGCGCCUAUCUGACCCACUGACGAGCUGACACGUGUUUCAUCUGGCCGAUAAGAAUUUUACACAUUGAAAUUUCCCAUUGGUUGGGGUUGUUAACGGGUUAUCGGAUCCAAAACCUGACCCGAUAGCUUAACGGCGUUCCGUUACGGUGGAUGCCACGUGUCGGUCACCCUUGACGGAAGCACUUCUGUGACGCGCGAUUUAUUAUCAUGGAAGUGGACACUCCAUGAUGAUAAUUUUGGUAAUGUCAUGGAACACUUCUACGACAGCACAAGUAUGACUAUCUUGAUUCUGUCAUAAAAUCAUCAUGGAUGUACAUGCAUGACAAAAAACGCGACCUACUGUGACAAACAUGUAUCAUCACGGAAGUGUAUUUUUUUGUAGUGCUAGCUAGGCACUCAAUUCAUAAGUAGCUCGCAUGAUAGAUUCAUAAGGUAAUUUAACUUUAUUUCUUGGAAAGUGCUCCAUGCCUUUCCUUGAUGGAAAUUGUAAUCUAAUAUUCCCUUCCUUCAUAUCAAUAAUCGCACCAAUCGUUCUAAGGAAAGGUCUACCAAGAAUAAUUGGGCAAGAAAGAUUGCAAUCUAUAUCAAGAACGAUAAAAUCUACGGCCACCAAAUAUCUAUUUGCAACAAUGAGAACAUCAUUGAUCCUUCCCAUUGGCUUUUUAAUGGUGGAAUCCGCAAGGUGCAAAUUUAAAGAGCAAUCAUCAAGAUCAUGGAAACCUAGAAUGUCACAUAAAGUUUUCGGAAUUGUGGAAACACUAGCACCUAAAUCACAUAAAGCAUAACACUCAUGAUCUUUAAUUUUAAUCUUUAUAGUAGGUUCCCACUCAUCAUAAAGUUUUCUAGGUAUAGAAACUUCCAAAUUAAGUUUUUCAUCAAAAGAUUGCAUCAAGGCAGCAACAAUAUCUUUGGUAAAAGCUUUAUUUUGACUAUAAGCAUGAGGAGAAUUCACAACGGAUUGCAAUAAGGAAAUAGAAUCUUCUAAAGAAAAAUUAUCAUAAUUAAAUUCCUUGAAAUCCAAGAUAGUGGGUUCAAUGCUAUUUAAAGUCUUGACCUCUCCAAUCCCACUUUUACCAAAUUUAGCAUCAAGAUCUAAAAACUCCGAAUCAUUGGGACACCUUUUAACUAAAGUUGACUCAUCUACAGUCCCAUCAUUAUUAAGAUUCAUAUUGCAAAACAAAGAUCUAAUAGGGGACACAUCAAUAACUUGAAGAUCUUCAUCAUUAUUUUCAUGGAAACUAGAAGAACACGCCUUUAUAAAGCAAUCUUUCUUAGCACACAUCUAGCGGUUCUUUCUUUGCACUCAUCAAUGGAAAUUCUCAUAGCUUUGAGAGACUCAUUAAUAUCAUGCUUAGGAGGAGUAGAUCUAAGUUUCAAAGAAUCAACAUCAAGCGAGAGUCUAUCAAUGUUCCUAGCCAAAUCAUCAACUUUGAGCAAUUUUUCUUCGAGCAAGGCAUUACAAUUCUUUUGAGAGAUCAUAAAUUCUUUCACACUAUUCUCAAAAUCAGAGGGCAUCUUAUUAAAAUUACCAUAAGAAUUAUUGUAGGAAUUUCCAUAAUUAUUAGAGGAAUUACUAGGGAACGGUCUAGAAUUAAAAUUUCCUCUAUAAGCAUUGUUACCAAAAUUAUUCCUACCAACAAAAUUCACAUCCAUAGAUUCUUUAUUAUUCUCAAUCAAAGUAGACAAAGGCAUAUCAUUGGGAUCAAUUGGAGCACUCUUAGUAGCAAACAAUUUCAUAAGUUCAUCCAUCUUUCCACUCAAAACAUUAAUUUCUUCUAUAGCAUGCACUUUUUUACUAGUAGAUCUUUUUGUGUGCCAUUGAGAAUAAUUAGCCAUAAUAUUAUCAAGGAGUUUUGUAGCAUAUCCUAAGGUGAUUUCCAUAAACGUGCCUCCCGCGGCCGAAUCUAAAAGAUUUCUAGAAGCAAAAUUCAAUCCGGCAUAAAAAUUUUGUAUGAUCAUCCAUAAAUUCAAACCAUGAGUAGGCAAUUGCGAAUCAUCAAAUUCAUUCUUUCCCAAGAUUGGGCAACAUGCUCAUGAUCAAGUUGUUUAAAAUUCAUAGUAUCGUUCCUAAGAGUGAUGAUCUUAGCGGGAGGAAAAUACUUAGAGAUAAAAGCAUCUUUGCACUUGUUCCAUGAAUCAAUACUAUUCUUAGGCAAAGACGAAAACCAAACUUUAGCACGAUCUCUAAGAGAAAACGGAAGUAACCUAAAUUUAACAAUAUCAUUAUCCGUAUCUUUCUUAUUUUGCAUCUCACACAAAUCAACAAAGUUGUUUAGAUGGGUAGCGGCAUCUUCACUAGGAAGGUCGGCGAAUUGGUCUUUCAUAACAAGAUUCAGCAAAGCAGUAUUGAUUUCACAAGACUCAACAUCAUUAAUAGGAGAAAUCGGAGUACUAAGGAAAUCAUUAUUAUUGGUAUUGGAGAAAUCACACAAUUUGGUAUUAUCUUGCACCAUUGCGACAAGUAAUCCAACACACAAGCAAACAAAAAGGCAAACGAAAGAGAGAGAAGAUUGGGAAAGAGAGGGCGAAUAAAACGGCAAGGGUGAAGUUGGGGAGAGGAAACGAGAGGCAAAUGGAAAUUAAUGUAAAUGUGAGGGGGGUGAGUUUGUGAUGGGUACUUGGUAUGUAUUGACUUGAGCGAAGACCUCCCUGGCAACGGCGCCAGAAAUCCUUCUUGCUACAUCUUGAGCUUGUGUUGGUUUUCCUUGAAGAGGAAAGGGUGAUGCAGCAAUAGUAGCGUAAGUAUUUCCCUCAGUUUUUGAGAACCAAGGUAUCAAUCUAGUAGGAGGCUCCUCAAAAGUCCCAUGCACCUACACAAAGAAACAAAGAACUCGCAACCAACGCAAUAAAGGGGUUGUCAAUCCCUUCAUGACAACUUGCGAAAGUGAGAUCUGAUAGAGAUAGUAUGAUAAGAUAAAUAUAUUUUUGGUAUUUUAUAAUUGUAACGCCCCGGAUCCGAUGCGCCAGGUGUCUGCCAGUUAUUCUCCGUCGUUGCCAUGUCAUUUGCUUGCGUGUUGCAUUUUAUCUUGUCAUCAUGUGCAUUGCAUUGCAUACGUGUUCGUCUCAUGCAUCCGAGCAUUUUCCCCGUUGUCCGUUUUGCAAUCCGGCACUCCUAUGCCCUCCGGCGUUCCCCUUUUGCCUCCUGUUGUGAGUGGGUGUUAAACGUUCUCGGAAUGAGCCGAGUCUUGCCUAGCGGCCUUGGUAUACCACCGAUAGACCGCCUGUCAAGUUUCGUGCCAUUUGGAGGUCGUUUGGUACUCCAACGGUUAACCGGGUAACCAUAAAGCCUCCUUCUCUUUGCAGCCCAACACCCCUUCCAAAGUGGCCCAAAACCCAUCCAACUCCCCUCCAUGCUCUCGGUCAUUCGAUCACGAUCGUGUGGGCAAAAACCGCUCCUCAUUUGGACUCUCCUAGCUCCCUCUACCUAUAAAACUAGCCCCUCCCUCGAAAUUCAUGGUCCAAACCCCCCGAAACCCUAGCUUCGUCCUCAUCCCGCAGCCGGACACGCCCGGACCCCGCCGGACAUGUCCAGCCUCCACCUCACCCCAGCCAAUCCCAGUGCGCCACGUCACCCCGCCACCACUCUCCUCCAACCGCCAGCCUCCACCUCACCCUCUCUCUCCUCCCCCCACACGGCCCGUGGGACCCNNNNNNNNNNNNNNNNNNNNNNNNNNNNNNNNNNNNNNNNNNNNNNNNNNNNNNNNNNNNNNNNNNNNNNNNNNNNNNNNNNNNNNNNNNNNNNNNNNNNNNNNNNNNNNNNNNNNNNNNNNNNNNNNNNNNNNNNNNNNNNNNNNNNNNNNNNNNNNNNNNNNNNNNNNNNNNNNNNNNNNNNNNNNNNNNNNNNNNNNNNNNNNNNNNNNNNNNNNNNNNNNNNNNNNNNNNNNNNNNNNNNNNNNNNNNNNNNNNNNNNNNNNNNNNNNNNNNNNNNNNNNNNNNNNNNNNNNNNNNNNNNNNNNNNNNNNNNNNNNNNNNNNNNNNNNNNNNNNNNNNNNNNNNNNNNNNNNNNNNNNNNNNNNNNNNNNNNNNNNNNNNNNNNNNNNNNNNNNNNNNNNNNNNNNNNNNNNNNNNNNNNNNNNNNNNNNNNNNNNNNNNNNNNNNNNNNNNNNNNNNNNNNNNNNNNNNNNNNNNNNNNNNNNNNNNNNNNNNNNNNNNNNNNNNNNNNNNNNNNNNNNNNNNNNNNNNNNNNGCCUCGCCUCCAGCCGGGCGUGCCCUCGCGCCGCCGAGCUCCGGCCGCCGCCCAGGACGCCGCCGCCGCCGCCCUCCUCUGCCGGCGCCGCCCCGCCAUCGCCCUCCUCCGUCGACUCCGGCGAUCCCCUCCGUUCAUCCUCGAGCUACGUGCAGCUACAGUACCGGCUGGAUCCAGAUCCAGAUUCGAUUUGAGGUUGCCCCGAAAUCCUCUAAGUCCCAGAUUUCAGUAAUUUUCAUGCCAUGUUUGACCUGCUGUAUCUCUGCAUCCGUAGCUCCGUUUCAUGCGUGUAAUAUGUCAAAUUGUUCGCCUCGACGAGUACAUCAUUUCGUUCCAUUGCACCAUUUUCAUUUGAGGUCAUCCUGAUGCCUGAAUCAUCGUUGUAAGAGUGCUUCAUAAUGUUUUCUGCUGUCUAUUAUCAGAACGAGCUCUUUUGUCAUUUUUGCCAUGAUUGAUGUGUGUAUCCUAUGAGGUUGAUGUCUUCAUGUGUUUUGAACUAUGCUAUGUCUUCUUUACAGAGGUGCUUACCAUGUAUUUUUAUGAUCAAUGUGGUGACUAGCACAAGCAUGUAAACUAGGCAUCGUGAUGUUGCUGAUUUUAGUCCCUGUUCUGCUGUAAUUUUAAUGCCAUGUAAACAUGAUGCUACAGAGAGAUCCAUGCAUAUUUAGAGAUACUUCAGUAAGGGUGUUUUGAACAUAUGAUGUUUGUCUAUCCAUUUAUGCCCUUGGUUGCAAUUAUGGAGUAGUCUAGCAUGUUACUUGAGUGCUCUACUUUUGCUUCAAAAUGUUUCCUGGCAGAUUGUUUACGUGUUAUCCAAUUUGGCCAAGCUUGCUAUAGUUGAUCCUUGCAUGCUAUGGACUUGUUCUUGACUUGGUUUGUUUCACAAACAUGUCUUCUUGAUGAUGCUAUGCUUAUCUUGUCAUGCAAUGACUUGUGGUGAGUGAAUCGAGCUUGUUAAGUAGUGUACAUGAUGUUGCUAUUUUGCUAGGCUGAAUCUGUUAUUUCGCGAUGCUAUGUAAACCUGCUUCUACUAAUCAUUCUAUGCAUAAUCUGGAGAUGUUAUAUAAAUAUGUUUUGAUCUACAUGUCAUCCUCUAAUCAUACAAGCCCCUGGUUGCAUUUAUAACUUGCUGUAUCUUGUUCAUAUAUUGCUCCAAAGUUGCUUCAUAAUGUUGCUGUCAGCCUGUUAACAUUAAGUUCACUUGUUCCCAUGUGUUUUGCUAGUGAUGCAUGCACCCUAUGACCUUGCUAUUGCCAUGCUUAGCUUCAAAAAUAUGUCUUCUUACUGUUGGGUGCCUUUCCAUGCCAUGUAUUUCUCUAUGGUGAGUGGUACAAGCUCAUCUACAUGCCUUCAUAAUUCUGUUUCUGCCAUGUUUGAAUCUGUAUAAUAACUUGCUAUGUUUACAUGGGUGCCAUCAUAUCUUCUGGUCCUUUUUGGCUUAUGGUCAGUAAGGGACUCUUGGUCUAUGCAAUUAGUAGAUUCAUGCCAUGCCUUUUUUUGCCAUGAUAAGUUCCUGUAACAUGUUGUUUGAUAGCUCUAAACGUUGCAUCGUGAUGUUAUUUUCUGCAAAGUCUGAAUUGUUAUUACUUUGCAAUUUUACCAUGUAUGUUUGAGCAUGUUCUAGUGAUUUCUGGAGUUAGCUCAGUGUUCAUGUUUUAUAAUGCUUUACCUGUACAUCAUGCCCAUGUCUUUUAUUUUCAUAUUGUGGUGCUGUAGCAUGUUGUUUUGAUGCUUGCAAUAUGCCUAGUUGCUGUUUUGGACAGAUUGUUGUUAUAACUUAUAUAGUGUGCAUGUGUUGAACCGUUGCUCCGUUUUGAGUGUGCUCUAUAUGAAACUUGCUUAGAAUUGCAUGUAGUUUCAUAUUAUCAUGUUGUAUCCUUGUUUUGAGGUGUUUGCUUGAUGUUUGGGUGCAUUUUGCAUCAGUGCCAUGUUUAACUUGUUUUGCUCAUAUCUUCUAGGCCGUAGCUCCGAACUAAAUGAUCUUUAUAUGUAACUUGACUAGAAUCUCGUGUAGAUCAUCUUGGUGAAUCUUAACUUGCUGUUUAACAACUUGAACAUAAGGUUUAUUCAGAUCUGGACCAAUUUCGAAAUAUGCAUAUGAGGACUUACCGGAAUUGUUAUAUGUUGUUCCCGGCCUCAUUUAAACUUGCCAUGAUGUGUUGCUCUUGUUUGCAUCAUCUCUUGCCAUGAGUAGCUUCAUGUAGCCUUGUCAUGCAUCAUGCUUCGUUGUGCAUCAUUCCUUGUUCAUGUGUGGUGUGUUUACUAUGUUGUGUGCUUCUUCUUGUUAGUUCCUGUUUCGUUGGGAUCGUGAGGAUUCGUUCGUCUACGAUUGGUUCGGCUUCAUCUGUUCGUCUUCUUCAUGGACUCGUUCUUCUUCCUUGUGGGAUUUCAGGCAAGAUGACCGCUACCCUAGAUCUCACUACUAUCAUUGCUAUGCUAGUUUUUUCGUUCUAUCGCUAUGCUGCGCUACCUAUCACCUGUUUAUCAAGCCGUCCCAAAUUGCCAUGAACCUCUAACCUUUGACACCUUUCCUAUGCAAACCGUUGUUUGGCUAUGUUACCGCUUUGCUCAGCCCUCUUAUAGCGUUGCUAGUUGCAGGUGAAGUUGAAGAUUUCUCCAUGGUGGACAGGAUUUUGGUUGGGAUAUCACAAUAUCUCUUAUAUUAUUAAUGCAUCUAUAUACUUGGUAAAGGGUGGAAGACUCGGCCUUUUGCCUGGUGUUUUGUUCCACUCUUGCCGCCCUAGUUUCCGUCAUACCGGUGUUAUGUUCUCGGAUUUUGCGUUCCUUACGCGGUCGGGUGAUUUAUGGGACCCCCUUGAAAGUUCGCUUUGAAUAAAACUCCUCCAGCAAGGGCCAACCUUGGUUUUACCAUUUGCCUCACCACCACCUACCCUUUCCCUUGGGUCGGCCAACCCAGGGGUCAUCUUUAUUUUAGCCCCCCCGGGCCAGUGCUUGUCUAAGUGUUGGUCCGAACUAGAGCCCUUUGCAGCGCCCCCUCAGGGAAACUUGAGGUCUGGUUUUAGUUGUAUGGAUUGCUCAUCCGGUGUUGCCCUGAGAACGAGAUAUGUGCAGCUCCUAUCGGGAUUGUCGGCGCAUCGGGCGGUCUUGCUGGUCUUGUUUUAUCAUUGUCGAAAUGUCUUGUAAACCGGGAUUCCGAGUCUGAUCGGGUCUUCUUGGGAGAAGGUCUAUUCCUUCGUUGAUCGCGAGAGCUUGUCAUGGGCUAAGUUGGGACACCCCUGCAGGAUAUAAUCUUUCAAAAGCCGUGCCUGUGGUUAUAGGCAGAUGGGAAUUUGUUAAUGUCCGGUUGUAGAUAACUUGACACGAGAUCCGAAUUAAAACGCAUCAACCGCGUGUGUAGCCGUGAUGGUCUCUUCUCGGCGGAGUCCGGGAAGUGAACACGGCUUCUGUGUUAUGUUUGACGUAAGUAGGAGUCAGGAUCACUUCUUGAUCAUUGCUAGCUUCACGACCAUUCCAUUUGCUCUCUUCUCGCUCUUAUUUGCGUAUGCUAGCCACCAUAUAUGCUUAGUCGCUGCUGCAGCCUCACCACUUGACCCCUUCCUUUCCCUUUAAGCUUUGCUAGUCUUGAUACCCAUGGUAAUGGGAUUGCUGAGUCCUCGUGGCUCACAGAUUACUACAACAACAGUUGCAGGUACAGGUUAUGCGAUGAUCAUGACGCGAGAGCGAUGCUUGCUUGCGUUGAGUUCUUCUGCUUCUUCGAUCAGGGGAUAGGUUCCAGGUCGGCAGCCUGGCCUAGCAGGGUGGAUGUCGUGUGAGUUUCUGUUUGUGUUUCAUUCGUAGUCGGAUGAUGCUCUGAUGUAUUGUUAUGUUGUAUUCAUGUGGCAUUGUAUGCCUUAUGUAUGUAUCCCCAUCUAUUAUGUAAUGUUGAUGUAAUGAUAUCCACCUUGCAAAAGCGUUUCAAUAUGCGGGUCUAUCCUUGGUGGGACCUUCGAGUUCCUUUUGGAUAGGGUCGCAUAUUGGGCGUGACAAGUUGGUAUCAGAGCCUCGGCCGACCCUAGGAGCCCCCUUGAUUGAUCGUGUAGUUUGGCCGUUGUCGAGUCUAGAAGAAAACUGUUUUCAGAGUCUAGUUAUAUUGGAGAGUAGGAAUUCUUUUUACUCCCCAGCCCCUUCGUCGCUCUGGUGAGGAAUCUUGACGUAGGUGUUUUGAACUGCUCCUCUUCCUUUUCAAACUUUCUUUAGUAUCACGCAGUUGGUUUUCCGAUCGUUGGUUCCUCAGCUCUUUUCAUCUGGUGCAUUUCUUGUCAAGUCGACUCGAGCCUCUUCAUCUUUGAGUUCAGUCCUCAGUUGUUGUCUUUUCCCACCCGCCCCCCCUUUUCUUCUCAAUGCCGGAGUAUGUAAUCGAGUAUCCAUCCUACUCGUGCGAAGCCUUUGCUUUCUUUCCUCAAUGAUUUCAACCGAUGUUUUCUCUUCAGUUAUUCGUCGUUUCUCUUUUCCAUGUUGUCUUUGUUUUCCCGCCCUCCCACCCUUUUCUUCCCGGAGUGUGUCUNNNNNNNNNNNNNNNNNNNNNNNNNNNNNNNNNNNNNNNNNNNNNNNNNNNNNNNNNNNNNNNNNNNNNNNNNNNNNNNNNNNNNNNNNNNNNNNNNNNNNNNNNNNNNNNNNNNNNNNNNNNNNNNNNNNNNNNNNNNNNNNNNNNNNNNNNNNNNNNNNNNNNNNNNNNNNNNNNNNNNNNNNNNNNNNNNNNNNNNNNNNNNNNNNNNNNNNNNNNNNNNNNNNNNNNNNNNNNNNNNNNNNNNNNNNNNNNNNNNNNNNNNNNNNNNNNNNNNNNNNNNNNNNNNNNNNNNNNNNNNNNNNNNNNNNNNNNNNNNNNNNNNNNNNNNNNNNNNNNNNNNNNNNNNNNNNNNGUCUCGGUGGACAUUCUUCAUCUCUUAUUCUUCUUCGGUGGAUUCGAUUCCAAUUUUCGGUGUUGAUCGUAUUCUUUUCCUUCGAUCAAGUAUUCUCCCUGCUCGUUCGUCUCUCGCCAGUUUAUCCUCCCGGAGUGCUCAAGACAUCUCAAGAAAUUCGUCUGUGUUCUAAUUAAUUCGAGGUUGUUACCUCAUUCAAAUAUUUCAACUGUUCCGGUGCAUCAUCUAUCUGUUCAGCAAUCCUUUCCAACGGUGUUUGCUCUUUAGUAGGCCCUAACCCACAAGUCUUUUCCCAGGAUCUUACCUGACUCUUCUAAUUUCCCGGAGCUAUUCUCAAAUCCUUUUUGGAGUCUGACGUAAGAAUGAAUUUCAUCAGUCAGAUGCCUUUCCAAGAUCGCUUUCAAACUCUUUUCAUUGUUGGCUCAACCUCUUUGCUUUUCAUUCUACCGGAGUAUCUCAGUAAUUUUGGUGGUGUUUUCUCGCCGUCAUUUGAAGACCGAAGAAGAGUUUUCAUGUUAUCCUCUCGAUUUAUUCCAUUUGUCAGAUAUUCUUUUCUUACCCAUCUGGAGUAUUUCAGGAGUUGUUUUCCCGUUUCUUUUCACCGAAGGCCAUCAUUCCAGUUAUCGUUCUGUAUUUAUCCCGGUGCUUCUUUCAAGUGUUCUUUAAUCAGCUCAUUAUCUCUUCGUUCUUUUGUAUCUAAAUCCCCUCUAGCAUUUGUGUUCGUCUAAUUCUUCCCAGUGAUUCAUUCUCUUUCGUCAAUCAAUUUUUGAAUUUUUAUGGUGGUUCAUUCAAGAUUCUUUUUCCUUGAUUAUCAUAUCAAUUCCAUUCGCUCUUUCCAAUCCUAUCGGUGGUUCAUGAAGACCUUCUCAAGCUUGCGAUAUGUCACUUCUAAAUCCUUUUUCAAGUAGAAUAAGUAAUAUGCGAAAUCCGUUGCUUGUCAUCAAUUUAAUUUGAUGAGGAUAAGCAUAACAUAAAUCUUAUUCUUAUUUCAUCAGAGUGAUUAAUCCCUUCCUUCGGAGUUUGUUCUUCAUGAAUAAAUUCUAGUCCCAAGUGUUUUCAUCUUUUCUUUUCCGGAGUUCAAAGUUCCUCAGCCAUUUCGUCGGAUCAUCCAUCUAAAUCAUCGCAAGGCUUUAAUCUUAUCCAUUCCAUCCUUCAAUUUUAUCUCAUCAUCUUUUUGUUACCGGAGUUCUUCAUGGUGGUUCUUCAUGAUUUAAUUCAUUCUUCAAGAGUUCAUCAAGUAUCAUUACUCCUCUCAAGUUCAUGUUCUAAUCCUUCCAUUUUCAGUCGGAGUGCUUCCUAAAUCCUUUUCAGUCUUAUUUGUUUUUUUCAUCUCGUUCUAACCGGAGUGAUUUCAUAGUCUAUCUGAUUCCGUGAGUUUUUGAUUCUCGUCAUUCUCGUCGUUCCUCUCUUCUUCUCGAGUGCUCCCGAUUCUUUGUUUAUUCUCUUGAGUUCUUGUUUCACCUCUUCCCCUUUUCUCUUCCGUCUCGGUCCUAAGAUCUCGGGACAAGAUCUCUUCUUAGUGGAGGAGUGUUGUAACGCCCCGGAUCCGAUGUGCCAGGUGUCUGCCAGUUAUUCGCCGUCGUUGCCAUGUCAUUUGCUUGCGUGUUGCAUUUUAUCUUGUCAUCAUGUGCAUUGCAUUGCAUACGUGUUCGUCUCAUGCAUCCGAGCAUUUUCCCCGUUGUCCGUUUUGCAAUCCGGCACUCCUAUGCCCUCCGGCGUUCCCCUUUUGCCUCCUGUUGUGAGUGGGUGUUAAACGUUCUCGGAAUGACCCGAGUCUUGCCUAGUGGCCUUGGUAUACCACCGGUAGACCGCCUGUCAAGUUUCGUGCCAUUUGGAGGUCGUUUGGUACUCCAACGAUUAACCGGGUAACCGUAAAGCCUCCUUCUCUUUGCAGCCCAACACCCCUUCCAAAGUGGCCCAAAACCCAUCCAACUCCCCUCCAUGCUCUCGGUCGUUCGAUCACGAUCGUGUGGGCGAAAACCGCUCCUCAUUUGGACUCUCCUAGCUCCCUCUACCUAUAAAACUAGCCCCUCCCCCGAAAUUCGCGGUCCAAACCCCCCGAAACCCUAGCUUCGUCCUCAUCCCGCAGCCGGACACGUCCGGACCCCGCCGGACAUGUCCAGCCUCCACCUCACCCCAGCCAAUCCCAGUGCGCCACGUCACCCCGCCGCCACUCUCCUCCAACCGCCGGCCUCCACCUAACCCUCUGUCUCCUCCCCCCCACGCGGCUCGCGGGACCCGGAUCGGGCCCGCGCNNNNNNNNNNNNNNNNNNNNNNNNNNNNNNNNNNNNNNNNNNNNNNNNNNNNNNNNNNNNNNNNNNNNNNNNNNNNNNNNNNNNNNNNNNNNNNNNNNNNNNNNNNNNNNNNNNNNNNNNNNNNNNNNNNNNNNNNNNNNNNNNNNNNNNNNNNNNNNNNNNNNNNNNNNNNNNNNNNNNNNNNNNNNNNNNNNNNNNNNNNNNNNNNNNNNNNNNNNNNNNNNNNNNNNNNNNNNNNNNNNNNNNNNNNNNNNNNNNNNNNNNNNNNNNNNNNNNNNNNNNNNNNNNNNNNNNNNNNNNNNNNNNNNNNNNNNNNNNNNNNNNNNNNNNNNNNNNNNNNNNNNNNNNNNNNNNNNNNNNNNNNNNNNNNNNNNNNNNNNNNNNNNNNNNNNNNNNNNNNNNNNNNNNNNNNNNNNNNNNNNNNNNNNNNNNNNNNNNNNNNNNNNNNNNNNNNNNNNNNNNNNNNNNNNNNNNNNNGCCGCCGCCCUCCUCUGCCGGCGCCGCCCCGCCAUCGCCCUCCUCCCUCGACUCCUGUGAUCCCCUCCGUUCAUCCUCGAGCUACGUGCAGCUACAGUACCGGCCGGAUCCAGAUCCAGAUUCGAUUUGAGGUUGCCCCGAAAUCCUCCAAGUCCCAGAUUUCAGUAAUUUUCAUGCCAUGUUUGACCUGCUGUAUCUCUGCAUCCGUAGCUCCGUUUCAUGCGUGUAAUAUGUCAAAUUGUUUUCCUCGACGAGUACAUCAUUUCAUUACAUUGCACCAUUUUCAUUUGAGGUCAUCCUGAUGCCUGAAUCAUCGUUGUAAGAGUGCUUCAUAAUGUUUUCUGCUGUCUGUUAUCAGAACAAGCUCUUUUGUCAUUUUUGCCAUGAUUGAUGUGUGCAUCCUAUGAGGUUGAUGUCUUCAUGUGUUUUGAACUAUGCUAUGUCUUCUUUACAGAGGUGCUUACCAUAUAUUUUUGUGAUCAAUAUGGUGACUAGCACAAGCAUGUAAACUAGGCAUCGUGAUGUUGCUGAUUUUAGUCCCUGUUCUGCUGUAAUUUUAAUGCCAUGUAAACAUGAUGCUACAGAGAGAUCCAUGCAUAUUUAGAGAUACUUCAGUAAGGGUGUUUUGAACAUAUGAUGUUUGUCUAUCCAUUCAUGCCCUUGGUUGCAAUUAUGGAGUAGUCUAGCAUGUUACUUGAGUGCUCUACUUUUGCUUCAAAAUGUUUCCUGGCAGAUUGUUUACGUAAUAUCCAAUUUGGCCAAGCUUGCUAUAGUUGAUCCUUGCAUGCUAUGGACUUGUUCUUGACUUGGUUUGUUUCACAAACAUGUCUUCUUGAUGAUGCUAUGCUUAUCUUGUUAUGCAAUGACUUGUGGUGAGUGAAUCGAGCUUGUUAAGUAGUGUACACGAUGUUGCUGUUUUGCUAGGCUGAAUCUGUUAUUUCGCAAUGCUAUGUAAACCUGCUUCUACUAAUCAUUCUAUGCAUAAUCUGGAGAUGUUAUAUAAAUAUGUUUUGAUCUACAUGUCAUCCUCUAACCAUACAAGCCCCUGGUUGCAUUUAUAACUUGUUGUAUCUUGUUCAUAUCUUGCUCCAAAGUUGCUUCAUAAUGUUGCUGUCAGCCUGUUAACAUUAAGUUCACUUGUUCCCAUGUGUUCUGCUAGUGAUCCAUGCACCCUAUGACCUUGCUAUUGCCAUGCUUAGCUUCAAAAAUAUGUUUUCUUACUGUUGGGUGCCUUGCCAUGCCAUGUAUUGCUCUAUGGUGAGUGGUACAAGCUCAUCUACAUGCCUUCAUAAUUCUGUUUCUGCCAUGUUUGAAUCUGUAUAAUAACUUGCUAUGUUUACAUGUGUGCCAUCAUAUCUUCUGGUCCUUUUUGGCUUAUGGUCAGUAAGGGACUCUUGGUCUAUGCAAUUAGUAGAUUCAUGCCAUGCCUUUGUUUGCCAUGAUAAGUUCCUAUAACAUGUUGUUUGAUAGCUCUAAACGUUGCAUCGUGAUGUUAUUUUCUGCAAAGUCUGAAUUGUUAUUACUUGCAAUCUUACCAUGUAUGUUUGAGCAUGUUCUGGUGAUUUCUGGAGUUAGCUCAGUGUUCAUGUUUUGUAAUGCUUUACCUGUACAUCAUGCCCAUGUCUUUUGUUUUCAUAUUGUGGUGAUGUAGCAUGUUGUUUUGAUGCUUGCAAUAUGCCUAGUUGCUGUUUUGGACAGAUUGUUGUUAUAACUUGUAUACUGUGCAUGUGUUGAACCGUUGCUCCGUUUUGAGUGUGCUCUAUAUGAAACUUGCUUAGAAUUGCAUGUAGUUUCAUAUUAUCAUGUUGCAUCCUUGUUUUGAGGUGUUUGCUUGAUGUUUGGGUGCAUUUUGCAUCAAUGCCAUGUUUAACUUGUUUUGCUCAUAUCUUCUAGGCCGUAGCUCCGAACUAAAUGAUCUUUAUAUGUAACUUGACUAGAAUCUCGUGUAGAUCAUCUUGGUGAAUCUUAACUUGCUGUUUAACAACUUGAACAUAAGGUUUAUUCAGAUCUGGAACAAUUUCGAAAUAUGCAUAUGAGGACUUACCGGAAUUGUUAUAUGUUGUUCCCGGCCUCAUUUAAACUUGCCUUGAUGUGUUGCUCUUGUUUGCAUCAUCUCUUGCCAUGAGUAGCUUCAUGUAGCCUUGUCAUGCAUCAUGCUUCAUUGUGCAUCAUGCCUUGUUCAUGUGUGGUGUGUUUACUAUGUUGGGUGCUUCUUCUUGUUAGUUCCUGUUUCAUUGCGAUCGUGAGGAUUCGUUCGUCUACGAUUGGUUCAGCUUCAUCUGUUCGUCUUCUUCAUGGACUCGUUCUUCUUCCUUGCGGGAUUUCAGGCAAGAUGACCGCUACCCUGGAUCUCGCUACUAUCAUUGCUAUGCUAGUUGUUUCGUUCUAUCGCUAUGCUGCGCUACCUAUCACCUGUUUAUCAAGCCAUCCCAAAUUGCCAUGAACCUCUAACCUUUGACACCUUUCCUAUGCAAACCGUUGUUUGGUUAUGUUACCCCUUUGCUCAGCCCUCGUAUAGCGUUGCUAGUUGCAGGUGAAGUUGAAGAUUUCUCCAUGGUGGACAGGAUUUUGGUUGGGAUAUCACAAUAUCUCUUAUAUUAUUAAUGCAUCUAUAUACUUGGUAAAGGGUGGAAGACUCGUCCUUUUGCCUGGUGUUUUGUUCCACUCUUGCCGCCCUAGUUUCCGUCAUACCGGUGUUAUGUUCCCGGAUUUUGCGUUCCUUACGCGGUCGGGUGAUUUAUGGGACCCCCUUGACAGUUCGCUUUGAAUAAAACUCCUCCAGCAAGGCCCAACCUUGGUUUUACCAUUUGCCUCACCACCACCUACCCUUUCCCUUGGGUCGGCCAACCCAGGGGUCAUCUUUAUUUUAGCCCCCCCCGGGCCAGUGCUUGUCUAAGUGUUGGUCCGAACUAGAGCCCUUUGCAGCGCCCCCUUAGGGAAACUUGAGGUCUGGUUUUAGUUGUACGGAUUGCUCAUCUGGUGUUGCCCUGAGAACGAGAUAUGUGCAGCUCCUAUCGGGAUUGUCGGCGCAUCGGGCAGUCUUGCUGGUCUUGUUUUAUCAUUGUCGAAAUGUCUUGUAAACCGGGAUUCCGAGUCUGAUCGGGUCUUCCUGGGAGAAGGUCUAUUCCUUCGUUGAUCGCGAGAGCUUGUCAUGGGCUAAGUUGGGACACCCCUGCAGGGUAUAAUCUUUCGAAAGCCGUGCCUGCGGUUAUAGGCAGAUGGGAAUUUGUUAAUGUCCGGUUGUAGAUAACUUGACACGAGAUCCGAAUUAAAACGCAUCAACCGCGUGUGUAGCCGUGAUGGUCUCUUCUCGGCGGAGUCCGGGAAGUGAACACGGCUUCUGUGUUAUGUUUGACGUAAGUAGGAGUUCAGGAUCACUUCUUGAUCAUUGCUAGCUUCACGACCGUUCCAUUUGCUCUCUUCUCGCUCUUAUUUGCGUAUGCUAGCCACCAUAUAUGCUUAGUCGCUGCUGCAGCCUCACCACUUUACCCCUUCCUUUCCUUUUAAGCUUUGCUAGUCUUGAUACCCAUGGUAAUGGGAUUGCUGAGUCCUCGUGGCUCACAGAUUACUACAACAACAGUUGCAGGUAUAGGUUAUGCGAUGAUCAUGACGCGAGAGCGAUGCUUGCUUGCGUUGAGUUCUUCUUCUGCUUCUUCGAUUAGGGGAUAGGUUCCAGGUCGGCAGCCUGGGCUAGCAGGGUGGAUGUCGUGUGAGUUUCUGUUUGUGUUUCAUCCGUAGUCGGAUGAUGCUCUGAUGUAUUGUGAUGUUGUAUUCAUGUGGCAUUGUAUGCCUUAUGUAUGUAUCCCCAUCUAUUAUGUAAUGUUGAUGUAAUGAUAUCCACCUUGCAAAAGCGUUUCAAUAUGCGGGUCUAUCCUUGGUGGGACCUUCGAGUUCCUUUUGGAUAGGGUCGCAUAUUGGGCAUGACAAUAAUAUAGAUUGGAAAAGUAAAGAUGCAAACAAAAGUAGAUUGAAAGCUUAUAUGACAAAAGAUAGACCCUGGGGCCAUAGGUUACUAGUGGCUUCUCUCAAGAUAGCAUAAGUAUUACGGUGGGUGAACAAAUUACUGUCGAGCAAUUGAUAGAAAAGCGAAUAAUUAUGAGAUUAUCUAGGCAUGAUCAUGUAUAUAGGCAUCACGUCCGUGACAAGUAGACCGACUCCUGCCUGCAUCUACUACUAUUACUCCACACAUCGACCGCUAUCCAGCAUGCAUCUAGAGUAUUAAGUUCAUAAAGAACAGAAUAACACAUUAAGAAAGAUUACAUGAUGUAGAUGGAUAAACUCAUGCAAUAUGAUAUAAACCCCAUCUUUUUAUCCUCGAUGGCAACAAUACAAUACGUGCCUUGCUGCCCCUGCUGUCACUGGGAAAGGACACCGCAAGAUUGAACCCAAAGCUAAGCACUUCUCCCAUUGCAAGAAAGAUCAAUCUAGUAGGCCAAACCAAACUGAUAAUUCGAAGAGACUUGGAAAGAUAACUUAAUCACACAUAAAAGAAUUCAGAGGAGAUUCAAAUAUUUCUCAUAGAUAAACUUGAUCAUAAACCCACAAUUCAUCGGAUCUCGACAAACACAUCGCAAAAAGAGUUACAUCGAAUAAAUCUCCAAGAAGAUCAAGGAGAACAUGGUAUUGAGAUCCAAAAAGAGAGAAGAAUCCAUCUAGCUAAUAACUAUGGACACGAAGGUCUGUGGUAAACUACUCACAACUCAUCGGAGGGGCUAUGGUGUUGAUGUAGAAGCCCUUUGUGGUCGAUUCCCCCUCCGGUGGAGCACCGACGAAGGCUCCAAGAUGGUAUCUCGCGGAUACAGAAGGUUAGGUUUUCGUGGUUGCUUCUGAUGUUCUCGGGGUACGUGGGUAUAUAUAGGAGGAAGAAGUACGUCGGUGGACUCCCGAGGGGCCCAUGAGAUAGGGGGCACGACCAGUAGGGGGGCGUGCCCUCACCCUCAUGGCCGCCUUAGCUACUUCUUGACUUGCACUCCAAGUCCUCUGGAUCACGUUUGUUCCAAAAAUCACGCUCCCGAAGGUUUCAUUCCGUUUGGACUCUGUUUGACAUUCCUUUUCUUCGAAACACUGAAAUAUGCAAAAAAAACAAUAUGGGUUGGGCCUCCAGUUAGUAGGUUAGUCCCAAAAAUGAUAUAAAAGUGUAAAGUAAAGCCCAUAAACAUCCAAAACGGGUAAUAUAAUAGCAUGGAACAAUCAAAAAUUAUAGAUACGUUGGAGACGUAUCAUCCAGCUGCUAGAAUCAUUUGUUGAUUAAGUUGACAAAGCCCUGCGUACAUGUCUGCUUAGUAGGCCCAUAGGCCAGCCACCAAAUCUGUCGGGUCCUAGCUAUCAUCGGGAGGAAUAGUUUUUUUCGCAUAACAAGGAGGCACUUCCUUCCGUGCGAAGAUACAGCCGGUGGGUCCCAGCUGUCAGGGGGAGGAAAUAGCUUAAUAAGGAGGAACUUUCCUUGCGUGCGACCAUGGACCUCGUGGGUCCCAGCCAUCAGGCUCUCACGUACAGUCCUCUUCCGAUGACUCUCAUUUGUUGACCAUGCCGCGUCGAGCACAGCGAGGCGGUGGACGACGACGAGGCCCCAGACUGGAACGCCCCGGAGAUGGGGAAGACGCAACAGUGGAGUCGCAAACGGAGAGGAGUUGGAAACUUGACUGGUUUAGGUGCCAGGUGGGCCUACACUCGGCAAAGAAUAACAAGAGGUGUGGAGUGGAGGGAUGGCGGUCGGCGGGGUAGCGUUUCGCUGCGAGACGCGCAAAACAAUACCACUAGAUGCCGGAGGCUGGAGCAUGCGGUCCCGGCAGCGCUGGGGGAAGAAGAUGAGAGAUUAAAGAAGAAUGCAGCCCGUUGGAUGUAAAUCCAAUGCCUUGCUUAGGCUUCGACCUACUGGCCCACAUGUCAGUCAGUCCAUUUGUUUUUUAGUCCAUUUGGUGGGCUAGGUGAAACAAUGAUGUAGCAUCUAUGCAGCCCAUUUAUAUAUAUGGUAGAAUUUAAAGCCCAUUUGCAUUUUUCUUGAAAUCCGCGCGACUUGCUGGGCUUGGUGAAAAUAUCAUGUUGGGCUAGAUGGAGAAAUAUUAGAAAAACAUAAACACAUGACUGCACGUCUAUUACUGCAUUGGUCAGUAAAAUCUUUGCAAGCUUAUGUACGCAAUCACUAGGAGUUAACUUGCCAAGUUAUAUAUAAACAAUUAUUAUUAUUAUUUUGUAAGAACUAUCAAUUUACGACAUAAAAUAUUAUUUUAAUUUGAUGAGUUAAUAGGACAUGGGGUAUUAUUAUUUUUUAGGCUAGACGUGGGACAGUUGAGUUGGUUCUAGGGAAAAGUACUAGGAGAAAACUCAGUUUACAUCGAAAAAGAAAGUGGAAGAAAAUUCAGAUAUAGGAUUAAUGAAAACAAAAAAUAAAGGAAGUGGGAAGGUCUAUAAAUUGGUUGGACGAACGACAGGUUUAAUGGAACCUUAUGUUUUUUCUAUUAUAUACUAUUAUAGAAGGGAAAACAUAGGUUCAGUUUUGCAUUCUUAUAGAAAAAUAGAACUGAGAUGUGCGUCGUCUUGAAAAAACAAACAUAACUUGGGCUGCUAAUGUUAUAGACAAGCUAGGUUGGGAGGCCCAGAGGCCGCUUGAUCCAAAAAACAUUGAAACAUGUCAUGGGCUACCCAUGUUAAACAACAAAACCUAGGCCAUGGACCUGGUGUGCCCGGGACUGUCAGCCUCUUGACGAACAAUUGUCUCCCGAUUCCUCUUGUUUUGCUGACGAUGUUGGUAAUGACAGAUGGCGGCGCCGCGGCGAGAGCACCAAGUGGAGGACGACAUCGAGAUUGCGGACCGAACAAACCGGAGCGGGGGAAGACGCAGGUGGAGGGGAGUAUGAGGGUUGACUUGUUUGGGUGCAGGGUGGCCGGUGGAGCUCCUUGGUAUCGUUGUCUUCUUUCAUGUUGGCGUAGCAGGGGUUGAUGAUGGUCUCGGCGAGGUCAACCAUGGAGUCCUUCUCCUGCCCGUUGCCGCUGAUCUUGUAUUGCUUCUGGAUGUCGACAAGCUUGUUGCAACAGAUGGCCGAAUCAUCGCGUUCUUUCUUCUCUCCACCAUAGCGAAGGUGCAGUCGGCGCUGCCGAUGAAACGGGUGAAUGAUCCAGAACCUCUGAUGGCCCUACAACAGUGGUAGACGAGAACCUCGCCCCACACGUGACCAGGGUGACCGCGAUCCGCUGGUCCCUGUCAGGAGAUAAAUGGAUGGACACAAGGUCUAGUCCUACGACCUUGUGCUUUCUCAUCCUGUAGGUACUGCUUGAACUCGGCGAGGCAGAGCUUCACCGAGUCCGGAUCGUUGGUGUACAUCACAUUCAACUUGGUGCCGCCAUGGAACUGAACGAAGAACUCAAAGGUGAACUCCUUGCUGAAGUUCAUAUCCAGCAGGCUCACCCCUCGGAUCGCCAUUGGAGUCUCUUCAAGUGAACGAGUGAGUAGGCGGCAACAACAGUUCAUUUUUCAGCUCUUGGGGAAUUGGAUUCAACAGUAAACUGAGUGCGAUAGGCGACAACAGUUACUACCCCUCCCUCGCCCAUUGCACGGCCGGCAGAAUAUGCACCCUCGGUGCAUUCAAACGCCUCCAUUAAGAAACCUAUUCCGGCCACACACGUCAGUUCACGAGCGGGUCUGUAUUGGUACUGUAAUAACAAGUGUUAGUGGUCACUUUACUUCAAUUUAAUUAGCUUUAAUUAAAUGUAUUCUUAAAACAAGCAAUGCAUUGGCUCGUUCUAGCAGUGCCACAAUAUCAACAUGCACAACAAUUAGAAAUAUCAUUCUCAGGAUGCACAUGAUCAACACAUUUGCCGCACUUUCACACAGACAAUACUACCAAGUUUGAACAGUUUGUUAUGGUUGUUGUCCUCUGCAUCAUCAUGCCAUGUUUCCCAGCUUGCAAGAUUCAGAACCAACAAAUAAGAUUCAACUAAUAAGUACAACAAAGAUGCCUACACAUCUCAUUGAUUCCCAGCUUCCAAGAUUCAGAACCAACAAAUAGGAUUCAAAUAAUAAGUACAACAAAGAUGCCUACACAUUUCAUUGAUUCCCAGGUUGCAAGAUUUAGAACCAACCCAUUAGAGCGUUUUGAUAAAGUGAAUAUCAGGAUUAAACCAUCUUGGCUAGCCGUGUCAUACAACCCAAGAACUUGGCGAAUGCUCUUGACCAUCACAACAUCUGUAGUAGAGUAUUCCUGUUUGCACAGAUAAGAAAGAGCUUGGAUUUAGGACUCUAGCAGCCGUAGAGAUGGUUGUACAAACAUUGGCCUUUUCUUUUGGCCACCAAUUCUAUCUAUGUUCCUGAUGCGUCAAUCUUUGAUGCAUCCCUUGAAAUUACUAUAAUAGUGGUACUAGUUGAAGCAAACUUUAUUUCCAAAACGAGAAAAGAUUGCGAUAGAAUAGCUUUAUUUAAAAAAUACAACGUUGGCACAGCAUGACAAAGCACAAUCAUGUUGAUAAAGGACAGUACUAACCGAUGUGAGGGGCCCUAUGCCGCCACGACUCGAUAUCCCUAUAUGCACAAAAAGAUAGAAAGUAAACAGUUGCUGGUCAAUAAGAAUAUAUGAAACAUACAUGAAAUGAAAAGAAGCAUCUUAGUUAUGUUCAUGGCAAGGACAGUAGAAAUUUUAAAAUGUGAGCAAUGCUUCAUGUUACUGGAAGCAUUACGAUCAACUAUGGCAUUCAUCAAAUAUGGGAUUACUUUAAUGGUGGCAUUGCUUGUUUACUAGAUGCAGUAAAUCAACAGCAGCUAAAGAGUUGGUUUAAGGGCAUGGGACUGUGGGUACACCAGGUCACUCAGCAGCGUAAAGAAGCAACUUACUUAUCAUACU